rnacentral:lncRNA from 1 species
AUGCACCCACCUCAAGUCAAAGGAAAAUCGUGGAUGAUGAGCAAGUGGUACAAGAAGAUGAGAUCUCGAACAGUGUGGUGCAAGCAAAUGAUGAAGUAAGAAUUGAUAUUGAUAACAAUGUGGAGGAGACUCAAGAAUAAGUGAACCCGUCUAGGAAGUACAUUGUUGAAAUACCGAAACCGGUAGUGCCAAAGGCUAAGGUACCAAUGCCAAGGCCUCCUCCUCCAUAUCCUCAAAGGCUUGCCAAGCAAAAUAGCGAGAAUCAAUUUAAAAAGUUCAUUGACAUGAUGAAGAGUCUAUCUAUUAAUGUGCCAUUGGUUGAGGCUUUGGAGCAAAUGCCCAGUUAUGCAAAGUUCAUGAAGGACUUGGUGACAAAGAAGCGGUCAAUGAAUUAUGAAACUAUAAAGAUGACUCAUCAAGUGAGUGCAAUUGUGCACUCAAUGGCUCUUAAAUUGGAAGAUCCCGACGCUUUCACAAUCCAUUGUACCAUUGGAAGUGCCAACUUUGCUAAAGCUCUUUGUGAUCUUGGGGCAAGUAUCAAUUUGAUGCCCUAUUCGGUUGUCAAGACUUUGGGAAUUGGUCAACCAAGACCCACAUCCAUGAGAUUACAAAUGUUAGAUCGUACCAUGAAGACACCGUUGGGUAUAAUUGAUGAUGUGUUGGUUCGUGUGGAUAAAUGCAUUUUCCCGACGAAUUUUGUGAUUCUUGAUUAUGAAGUAGACUAUGAGGUGCCGAUUAUUCUGGGUAGACCUUUCCUUGCUACGAGGAAGGAUCUUGUUGAUGUGGAAACCAAUGAACUAUCUUUCUGAGUAGAUGAUGAAAAGGUAGUUUUCCAUGUGUGCAAAUCUAUGAGGCAACCGAAUAGCACUGAAGUGUGUUCGUUUGUGUACUUGGUGACCGAUGUGAUUAUUGAUGAUACUAGUGCCACGAUGAAUGUUGAUGAUACAUUGGAGGCCGUUUUGCUUUACCUUGACGAUGACGAGAUAGAUGGCUAUGUGUAAUGCGUGAACUCAUUGCAAGGAAUGAGGUCGUACACUUAUGGACCUCGCAAAUUGUCUUUGGAUCUUGAAAAUCGGAAGACUCCUCCAAUAAAGCCCUCAAUCAAGGAGCCUCCCAAUUUGGAGUUAAAGCCAUUGCCUCCGUAUCUCUGGUAUGAAUUCCUUUGCCCUUGUUCUACUUUACCGAUUAUUCUUUCCUCUUGUUUGACUAACGUUCUGGUAGACUCCACAUUGGCGGUGCUACAAAAGAGGAAGAAAGCUAUUGGAUAGACAUUGGCAGAUAUUCAGGGAAUAAGCCCCGCAUUUUGCAUGCACAAGAUUAAUUUUGAGGAAGAUUCCAAACCCUUCAUUGAACAUAAAAGGAGGCUAAAUGAAGCAAUGCAAGAGGUGUUCAAAAAGGAUAUCAUAAAGUGGUUAGAUGCAGGGGUUAUUUACUCCAUUUCCGAUAGUUCGUGGACCUCUCCGGUGCAAUGUGUCCCAAAUAAAAGGGGAAAGAUGGUGGUUACCAAUGACAAGAAUGAGUUGAUUAAUACAAGAACGGUGACCAGGUGGAGAGUGUGUAUGGACUAUCUAAAGCUCAACAAAGUCACAAGGAAGGAUCAUUUCCCACUUCCCUUCCUAUAUCAAAUGCUUGAUAGGUUGGCCGGCCGUGCUUUCUAUUGUUUCCUUGAUGGGUAUUCCGGCUACAAUCAAAUUCUUAUUGCUCCGGAGGAUCAAGAGAAGACUACUUUCACAUGUCCUUAUGGUACUUUCGCAUUAUCGCGAAUGCCAUUUGGGUUAUGUAAUGCACCGACGACUUUUCAAAGGUAUAUGAUGGCUAUCUUUACGGACAUGGUGGAGGAUUUCCUUGAAGUCUUCAUGGAUGACUUUUCGGUGGUCGGGAAUUCUUUUGAUGAUUGCUUGAAAAACUUAGAUAAAGUCUUGACAAGAUGUGAAGAGACGAACUUGGUGUUGAAUUGGGAGAAAUGUCAUUUCAUGGUUGAGGAAGGCAUUGUCCUUGGCCACAAAAUUUCAAAGAAUGGCAUUGAGGUCCACAUGGCGAAAAUAGAGGUGAUUUCUAAACUUCCACCUCCAAUAUCCGUGAAGGGAGUGAGAAGUUUCUUGGGUCAUGCGGGGUUCUACCGGCGUUUCAUCAGGGUUUUUUCCAAAGUGGUGAACCCCUUGUGUAAGAUUUUGGAGAAAGAUGCCAAAUUCCAUUUCAAUGAGGAUUGCAUGAAGGCAUUUGAAUUGCUCAAGUUCAAAUUGACAACUACCCCUAUUAUCACCGCCCCGAAUUGGAGCUUGCCUUUUGAGCUCAUGUGUGACGCUAGUGAUGUGGCAGUCAGAGCAGUUUUGGGGCAACGUGUCAACAAGAUCUUUCAUACGGUCUACUAUGCUAGUGAGACCAUGAAUGAUGCCCAAGUCAAUUACACUGUGACAGAAAAAGAACUCCUUGCUAUUGCUUUUGCUAUGGAGAAGUUCCGCCCGUACUUGAUGGGUACAAAGGUGAUUUUCCACAUGGAUCAUGCGACACUUCGGUACCUUAUGAGCAAGAAAGAUUCAAAGGCUCGGUUAAUGAGAUGGGUUCUUUUAUUGCAAGAGUUUGAUCUAGACAUCCAAGACCGCAUAAGAAGUGAAAGUCAAGUAGCAGACCACUUGUCUUGCUUAGGGGAGAAGGGGAGGCCACAUGGCGGCCUUGAAAUCAAUGAGUCCUUCCCCGACGAGCAACUUCUAGACAUUUCAAUGACCGAGAUGCCAUGAUUCACUGAUUUAGCAAAUUAUCUUGUGAGUGGUAUUGUACCGGAUGAGUUCUCUCCAAACUAGAGGAAAAAGCUCAAACAGGAUUGCCUAGACUAUUAUUGGGAUGAACUAUACCUCUUCCAGAUUUGUACCGAUGGCGUGAUUAAAAGAUGUGUGCCGGAGGAGGAACAAGUUAAAAUUAUUGGGGCUUGUCAUUCUUCACCCUACGGUGGUCACCAUGGGGGAGCAAGAACGACGACCAAAGUGUUGAGUUGUGAAUUCCAUUGGCCUACUCUCUACAAGGACGCAAGUGAUCUGUUCAAGCAUUGUGAUGAAUGUCAAAGGGCCGGUGGGAUUUCAAAGAAGAAUAAGAUGCCCCUCACCACCAUCUUGGAAAUUGAUAUUUUUGAUGUGUGGGGUAUUGAUUUCAUGGGACCGUUUGUAAGCUCUUGUGAGAACACCUACAUUUUGGUAGCUGUGGAUUAUGUGUCAAAAUGGGUUGAUGCCGUUGCUCUACCCAACAAUGAAGCUAGAAGUGUGGUGGCAUUUUUAAAAAAGAAAAUCUUCACAAGGUUUUGUACUCCGUGGGCCAUUAUAAGCGAUGAAGGGUCAUAUUUUUGCAACAAAGCUUUUGAUACCUUGCUUAGCAGGUAUGGUGUCACCCACAAAGUCACGACCCCCUAUCACCCUCAAGCAAACGGACAAGUUGAAGUCUCUAACCGGGAGAUCAAGAGUAUUUUGUCAAAAAUAGUGAAUGCCAACCAGACGGAUUGGUCAAAGAAACUUGAUGAUGCUUUAUGGGCUUAUAGGAUGGCUUACAAAACACCGAUUGGGAUGGCUCCAUACCGGUUAGUGUUUGGGAAAUCUUGUCACCUUCCGGUGGAACUUGAGCACAGGGCCAUAUGGGCUUUGAAGAAGCUAAAUCUUGAGUGAGAUGUUGCCUCCAACUUAAGGGUGGCACAAUUGAAUGAGCUAGAUAAAUUUCGGUACCAUACAUAUACAAGUUCAUCCUUAUACAAGGAUAAGAUGAAGCACCUCCAUAACAAGUACAUUCGGAACAAGGAGUUUAAAGAAGGUGAUCUUGUGUUAUUGUUCAAUUCUCGGUUACGGAUGUUUCCAGGAAAGUUAAAGUCUAAAUGGAGUGGCCCGUUUGAAGUUGUGAGUGUGACACCCUUUGGUGCAUUGGACUUGAAGAAUAAAAAUGAUGAAGUGUUUAGAGUCAAUGGUCACCGAGUGAAGCACUAUCUAGGAAAAGUUGGUGAUGGCCAUGUAGUGGCAGUGAUUCAUUUUAAGUGAUUGAUGGUAAUCUGCGUCGUGCCGCAAUAUUAAAUCAGGUGCUUCUUGGGAGGCAACCCAUGUUUCUUUUUCUUUUCCUUUUUUAUUCUUCUUUAGAUAAGUCUUGUUUUGUGCUAACUGGUUUUGAAUUGUGUUGCAGGAAUGAGUGUGCUUUGCAGGAACUGUGCUCAUGCAAAGUGGCUAAGUGUGAAAAAAGUGCGGAUCGCACAAUUUUGAAGGCCACAACAGAAAGGGAUCUGCGGCCGCACAAUUCUUGUUGCGGCCGUACAACUGGAGAUAAAAAAUUAUAAACUAUCUGAAGUUGUGCAUGUCAGAGAAAUGGCCAAGGUGCGGCCGCACAAGGAAAUGCAGAGUCCGCACAAAAAUCUACGACCACACUAAAAAAUGUGCGGACCGCAGAUCAUCAAAAGGGUAAUUUGUAACAUGUAAAAGAGUGCGGACCACACACAAAAUUGUGUGGCCGCUCAUCUCUUGAACUCUUGCCCUAACCGGUCAACUAUAAAUAGUUCCUCCUUACUACUUUUCAAAGUUUACGAACUCUGAACAAUUAACACAAAGGAAAAUACAGUGCACUCAACUGAUUCACGCAUCUAGCACUCAUUUUAUCAUUUUUGAUUCUUCCUUAGUAUCACUACAUCACUGGUAUGUUCAAUUCAUCUUUAAAAUUUUCAAUUUUCUUAAUUUUGUUCAUAAUUAGUUUAGUUAGUUUUAGGCCCAAUGUCAAAUUCAUCAUCAUGUGAGCUUAAAUUUGUGUGGGUAACUUUCUAUUUGCUAUUUAGGGGAUGGGUAAAAUGUGUAUCAUGUCUAAAUUGCUACUACCAUGUCUAAAUUGUGCGUGAAUUAGAAACCCUAAGAAUCUCCCCGAUGAAUUUUUGAAUUGUGCAGCCGCACAAGGAAUUGUGCGGUCCGCAGAUCAGUAGGCUAGGACAUUUGGUAUAGAAUGAUUGUGCGGACCACACUUAAAAUUGUGCGGUCCGCAGAAAUUCAAUCGCGGCCGCAGAAAAGUGUGUGCGGCCGUAGAUCAAGCAAUUCUUCGUCUUCAGAGAGUUGUCAUUUUUGAAGUUUCAAUAUGCGGUCGCACCCAAAAUUGUGCGGACUGCACUUCAAUUGUGUGGACCACACUUCAAUUGUAUGGUCGCACUUAAAAUUGUGUGGACCGCAGAACCAUCAGUGCGGCUGCACUUCCAAAAUUGUGCAGUCUGCACAAGCCCAUCUGCGGUCGCAUCCAAAAAUGUGCGGACCGCACUUCCCCCAACGUGUAUACUAUUAGUCUACAACUGUUUGAUACUUUGAAUUUGAACUAUAACUCAUUCUUGUUGCUGUGUAUUACAGACAAUGGUUAGAUCACGGGGACGAGGUGAUACAUCCAAGGGGAAGGGUGAACCUUCCAGAGGCAGAGGCAAAAACACCUUACCCCUCGCCUUCCAAAAAUGAUCAGUAAGAAGGCAACAAUAGGCCGAGGUAGACAGUCGGAGCCCUCCAAAUCAAGUUCAUAUGCCCCGUAUAGGGAAGCAUCGGAGGGAGACUCAGUGCAAAGGCAGCCUGCAGUGCAAUCACAACCACAACUGCCCCAGGACAGAUACCGAAUGAGAGAUGAGCCUACCUCUUCUGAGAGUACUUCUAAGUGGUUGAAAGGGAACAAUCAGGGUUCAGAACCCUCAUCUACUCAUGCCCCGCCGCACCAGUCACACUUGAUGAUGAUGAUAUUCCAGAUGACGGUCGAGGGGUGAUACCCGAGUUGUCGUCCUCGAGAGAUCGAAGAAGAAAAAAGUUUGGGAAGAUAGGUUUGCGAGCCUGACUGCAUUCAACAGGUUCCGAGAGUGGUGGCCUCAGAGAUCGCUCACACUUGUGCAUCAGUUUCUAUUGAAAGACUUGUAUAGAUACAAUCCAAAUGUGGCAAAACAGUUUCGGGAGAGAAACGGGUGGACAUGGUUCACUCAAAGUGUAGUAGAUGCCAAAGAGCACUUAGUCCAGGAAUUUUAUGCCAAUGUGGCACACGUCAAGAAGGGGACCAAAGUGACGAAAGUGAGGAACUUGAAAGUGAGAUUUGACCAAACUACCCUGAACGCAUACCUAAGGUUGGAGGAUGUGGAGCCGAUGCAAUACUUGGAAAAGCUGGCUAUGGGCGAUGCAGCUCGCCCAUGGCUAGCUGAGAUUCUGGCAGCUCCGGGACCACCACCACCAUGAAUCACAGCAAGGGUUCCCAUUCAGCGGAACACCCUUAACUUUGAAGCAAAAGGGUGGCAAACAUCUGUGUGCUGUCGCAUAGACCCAAGCCAGAAUGAAAACAAUCUCCCAAUCCCUCAGGCAGUCUUAGUUGCUUCCAUCUUGGCCGGGUACCCAAUCAAUGUGGGUGCCAUCAUGUCGGCCAACAUGUCUCUGGUUGUUAGGCAUGGUAAAAGCUCUUAUCCAUAUCCCAACACUAUCACGGAGUAUCUCAUGGAUGCGGGGGUGGAGCCCAAGAGCUUUGAUACGAAGAUUAGGGCUAAUCAGCCCUUCUCUUUCUACUCUCUGAAGGACCCAAGGAACCCCAAGAACAAGGGUAAGUCGACUACUACCGUAGGCCAGUCUGAUGAGCCGUCGGUGGUAGUUGCAGAUUCAGCUGCCAUGCCUUCUACAGUAGCUAUGCCUUUCACAGCAGCCGGGCCUUCCAUUGAUACAACUACCAUACCUCCAACUCCAUCUUCAGGGCCAUCAGUAUCAACGCCUUCCUCCUCUACUUAUCCACUCUAUGCGCUGCGAGUCUCCCAGACACUAGCGAGUCUCAACAACUAGAUGCAGACAGCUACUGCAAAACUGUUUGACCUAUCUAGUGUCGUUGCAGUUCAGACUUCUACCCCAGCACCCCAGAUUCCUCCGUCAGUGGAGGAAACUUUGAAGAAAAUAUUGGAGAAUCAGAAGACCAUCAUGGACACCUUGGUGGUACAUGGGGGAGCAAUUGAGGAGCUUGGGAAACAGGUGAAGAAGAUGAGGAAAUCUCAGGCAUCGAAGAAAUCAGUUGACAGGUUGAGACAAGAGGUGACCAAGAUAGCAGCCGCUGGAGACCUUCCGUUUGACUUACUAAUGGAGACAGCUCCAGCAGUACCAGUAGACCGAGCAGCACCAUCAGCACCAGUGGCACCAACUGGCCAGUCAGAGGAGCCAGACCUCACUGCCCACACUGCUGAGGCACUGAUAUAGAUGUUCACCAACCCAGCUACUCCCCGAGCAAGGGAUGAUGAGAUCCAGUUGGAGGAGCCUGAGGGAGGUGAUGCUUCCAUGGACACUAAGACCACAUAGGGAGUCCUCUCUACUCUUUCCCUUCCUUGUUUUUAUUUUGUUAAGCAUUGAGGACAAUGCUUUAUUUUUAUUCAGGGGGUGGACCCUAUUUUGAUUUGACAUUUGACAUUGGCCUAUAAUAACUGAUAACAUUCUAUUUUUAUUUUUACUUUCAUUAUGUACAUUUUCUUCUCUCUCUAUUGAUGUAUAUAUUCUCUUUCCCUUUCUCAAUUUGUAUAUUCAUUUAUGCUUUCAGCAGUUUACUUCAUAACUUCUUUAUUUUGUAUUCUCAGUAGUCAAUGUUUAGUCUAAUAACUUCUUAUUUACUUUAAUAAUUUCUUUUUAAUUUAGUAGUUUCUUUUCAUGUUUAAGUGAUCAAUAAGCCUUUGGUUUUGUUGUGUGAACCGGACUCUUCCCAACGAUGGAUGGCGUGAUAACCUUCUUAAGGGACUGAGUCCGUUUUUGAUGUUUAGGUAAGAACAAUAGUAAUAAUGAAUAAGGGGACCUAAUUGAGUCGAACUAGAAGAGCCAAGCAUGCUUCACUUGGUACCAACACACUUAACUACAUGCUUAUGAUUAAAAAUAAGUUCUUGGAAAGAAAUAGCUCUAGUUAGUGACCUUUUGACUCUUGUGUUGACUUAAGCAAUCAUCGAGUGGUUUAGUUGAACCAUUAGUGAUUUUCAAUAUCGAAUAUGGUUGUUGUGGGCCCUCGACUCUAUCCUCUCGAACAAUCCGGCUGUUUGAGAGGUGAGAUGUUUUGUUGCAAGUCCAAGUACCCGUGCGAAUGGUCUAGAACUUGCCCCGAAUGUGUUUCUAGGCGAAAUUCUAAGUUUUGUUUGGCUUGAGAAGUGAUUGUAGGCUCUCCUUGACCCGUUUUGAAAUUUUCCAUGAACCACCAAUAUUUUUAUCCCUAGUCAACCCUUUUGAUCCUAAAACCUUUCUCAUUUGAUAACCAUGUUACAAGCCUUUACCCGUUUUGUAGUGACCCUCUCUUGGCACCCGAGCUUUCCUUAACACUCUUGAAAACAAUUUACUAAAACAUAAGUUUGGGGGAGAGACGAGAAAUUUGAAAGUGGUAUCAAGGUACAAAAAGAGAAAAGAAAUGAAGAAAAGGAAAGGCAAAGGAAUAAAUUGAAAAGUUGAAGGGAUUCAAAGAAAAGAAAAAUUGCAAAGCAUGGAGAAAAUAAAGAAGGAGAAAAUGAAUAUCAUGACCAAGAAAGAGUGAUGUUAAGUCUCUCAAGUUCCCCUAAGGAAAAAGAAAAUGAAUCAAAGAGUCGGCAAAGCAUGAGCCAAAAAGAGAAAAUGGAGUGCUUAAGGAAAGAUGAACCCGUUCUAUUCAAACAUUUCCUACCUUAGUUCAAAAGCCUUCAUUACAUUCCAAAAAAUCCCUACGUGAUUUCACGCCGAGUGAACUUACAUUAGUGGUGAUUUACAUGAGGGGCAAUCAUAUGGUACUUAGAGCCGUACUUGUGACAUUCUUUUGAGAGAGAUGAGCGAACUUUUCACAAAUCCUUGAAGUGAGUGUUACAUUCUUAAGUGAGAUAUGCUAACGGAGAGUAAAGGAGGAGGAGUUUGGGAUCCACAAUGACUUACAUGAAAGAGCGAACUUCCUUGAUGAGUAAAGUCAACUCUUGAUGCUCUAGUGUCACAUUAAAACUAUUUGUGCUUAAAACUUAAAAUCAUUGCCUUGUUGAUAAUUCGUAAGUGUUGUGGGUAAUUGUUAGUUCCUAUUGAUGUGUGUUUGAUUCACCUUAGAUUAGCUAGAAUAGCUCUUAUCUUGUGGAGGUGAGAAUUACCUUAUUUUCUUGAGGACAUGCAAAAGCUUAAGUUUGGGGGAGUUGAUAAGUGGGAAUUUUGACUACUUAUUAGCGUCUUUUAGCUUUAGUUUUAGUCCAAAUGUGUCUAAUUAUAUUCCCGAAAACUGAUGAAAUAUGCUUACCUGCAGGAGUAUUGGAAAAUGAUCCACUAAGAUGAAAUCCAACUCAAGGAGGAGUGAUCUGAACACAGACAAAAAUCAGGCACAGAAGCUCAAGGGCGGACCGUAAAUUUCUAUCUGCGGCCACAGAAUGUGAAAGAAAAUCAACAGAGCCCCAGUGCAAAGUGCGGACUGCACAAUUAUUGUGCGGCCACAGAAGCUACGUAAGAGCCAAAGUUCAGAGAGUUUCAUUUCAAGCUCUAGAAGAAAUGCGGAUCGCACAAUAAUUGUGCGGCCGCGACCACACUCAGAAAUUGUGCGGUCCGCAGAAGAGCCCAGUGCGGCCGCACCCAGAAUUGUGCGGACCGCAGAACAUGAGAGAUACGGCUGCAGUUCAGAAUUGUGUGGCUGCAGAGUCAACUCCUGUCAAGAUCUGAAGAGAAGUGCGGACCACACAUAUAAUUGUGCGGCCGCAGAACCUCCGAAAGGGUAAUUUUGUCCGAAAAUUCCAGCUUUGUAUAAAUAGACUACUUUCACGAAAUUAGGUCAAGUUUUGAAGAUUGAAAGCCCUGUAGUCGUUUUUACUUGCCUCUUUGUGCAACUUUAGCUUACUUUGGUGAUUUAACAUUGGAUUUUUAUCUUUUAAUCUUGCAAUAUGAGUUUUAUUAUCUUUUCUUCUUUAUUAUCUUUUAUACCCAUUACGAGUAGCUAGAUAUCUAACUAGGGUUGUGACCCAACCCUAGUGUGUGAACCUAAUGGGUAUUUUAUUUAUGGCUUGUUUAUGGUUGAGUAUUUAUUAUUUAGCCUUGUUCUUGCCUUUAAUUAUAGAAUUAAUGGUUGCAAAUAUUAGUUUAUGCCUAUUUGACUUGGUCUCAACUUGAGAAAGAGAGACUUAGUCUAGGAAAACUUGGAUAACAAGAAUUUGGGAUAAAAUCAAGAGAUUCAUAGUCCCAAUUAAAUGGUUGAACCUAGAGAUAGUAAAACCCGACUUGAGCAUAUUAUCAACUAUUUUGUUCAAAACCCAUUUGGACUUGAGAAAGCCAGAUUGAGCAAAAUUACUCUCUUACCGAGAGGUAUUGAGUGGGUAUUUGAGUAUCGAUUGCUAUAAUACACCCCGUCCAACAAAACAAGCUUUACAGUUUACAACCCGUUAGGCAAACACCUAGGUAAAGGUCAUACCCCUAGGAUUUUGUAUAUAUUUGAAAACCAUCCACAAAUAAUAUUCUCUAGUUUUAUAUCUUUAGAAUUGUAAUCCUUAACGUAAUUUUAGAAGUAAAAACAAAACCAUAUUCGUGGAAGUGCAACCAAGAUACUUUAUGUGCUUUAUCCAAAUAUAUACCACUAAUCCCAUAUCAACUCCCUCUGGAUUUGAUCCCGACUCCUUGUUGGGUAUUGUUAUUGCAAUCGACCAUUUUACAACUCCGAAUAGAGGUGUGACUUGGACGAGAUCAGGCCUCAGCUUUCGAGCGGCGACUACGAGAGCUAAGGACAGUUUAUACAAAUAUGGGUAGCGAGUUUCUGCUCCCAUUAAAAUUUUACUAACGCAAUAAAUAGGAGAUUGCUUACCAUCGUCCUCACAGACUAAAGCUGCACUUUUUGCGACUUCAGAGACCGUGAGGUAGACUAAUAAUAUUUCACCUUCUUUUGGUUUCGAAAGCAACAAAGGGCUUGACAAGUACCUUUUCAAAUCUCUCAAAGCCUUCUGGCACUCCUGGAUCUAUUUGAAAUUAUUUUUCUUUUUGAGAUGUGCGAAGAAACGACGACAUUUUUCUGAUGACCGGGAAAUGAACCUGCUCAAAGCUGCCAAUCUCCCUGUGAGUCUUUGGACUUCCUUCACAUUUGACAAUUGGUCUCGGAUGUCUUCGAUGGCCUUGAUAUUAUCGGGGUUUAUCUUAAUUCCCCUUUGCGAUACUAGAAAUCCUAGAAACUUACUAGAGCUGACCCCAAACAUGUAUUUCUCGGGGUUAAGUUUCAUAUUAUGCUUUAUUAGGAUGUCAAAAGUUUCUUGCAGAUGUUUAAGAUGAUCACCUGCAUUUAAAGACUUAACGAGCAUAUCGUCUAUAUAAACUUCCAUAGUUUUUCCUAUUUAUUUUUCAAACAUCUUGUUCACGAGCCGUUGAUAAGUGGCUCCGGCGUUUUUCAACUCAAAGGGCAUCACAUUAUAACAAUAUGUACCGAAAUGCGUUAUAAACGGAUUCAUUUCCUGAUCCUCUGGGUUUGUCUUAAUUUGAUUGUACCCGAAAUAAGCAUCGAGGAAACUCAUUAACUCGUGCGCGGCCGUAUCAUCAUUCAUUUGAUCGAUGUUUGGCAGUGGGAACGAGUCUUUCGGGCAUGCCUUAUUCAAAUUUUUAUAAUCUACACACAUGCAAAAUUUAUCUUCUUAGGAACUACUACUACAUUAGCUAGCCAGUCUGGAUACUUUACCUCUUGGAUCGAACCGAUAUUAAGUAAGCGAGUUACCUCUUCCUUAACGAAUUUAUUCCCGGCUUCGGCAAUAGGGCAUUUUUUUUGUCUUACCGGAGGUAUGUUGGGAUCCAAACUUAACUUAUGUACGACUACCUCCAUCGGGAUACAUGUCAUAUCCACAUGCGACCAUGCAAAACAAUUGACAAUUUAAGAAAUUUAAUAAAGCCAGACCUGAGCUCGGGGUGCAGUCAUGUCCCCAAUUGGAAUAUCCUUUCUAAGAACUCUUCGAACAAUGCAACUUGCUCAAGAUCUUUCGUUGUGGAUUUCGUUGCAUCCGUAUCUUCUGGAACCUGGAAAUACCUUGGCACCUGAUAAAAUUCUAAAGUUUCUGCCCCCGGGCUAACUUCAUCUAGUUUGGGAGCGGGCGCCGGUUCCUGUAAUUGCUAUGCCGCGUGUUCCUUUCCUUUGCUACUAGAUAUUGAAAUUGCAUUCAUCUCCCUUACCUCCGGUUGGUCACACCUUAUCUGCUUAACUCCUUCGGGCGUUGGAAACUUCAGCAAUUGAUGAUAUAUUGAAGGUACAACUUUCAUCUCGUGCAACCAUGGUUGUAACGACCCGACUUAUCAUUUUGAGCAUUUACAUCUAGUUCAAUAAUUUGAAAUCUUGAGCAGCUUCGUAAUGUGUAUUAUGACUUGUGUGAAUUGUCGGCUUUGAUUUUCGGAUGAUUCGUGAUUAAAUUGAAAGAACAAUCCUUAUUUAGAAGUUUAAAUAAAAAGAGUUGACCAAAGUUUGACAUUUGUACAAAAGACUCUGGAAUAGAAUUUUGAUAGUUCCAAUAGCUCCGUAUGGUAAUUUUGGACUUAGGAGUAUGUCCGAAUAUUUAUUUGGAAGUCCGUAGUUGAUUUUGGCUUGAAAUGGCGAAAGUUAGAAAUGGAAGGUUUGGAAGUUUGAUCGGGAGUUGGCUUUAUUGAUAUCGGGGUCGGAAUCCAGUUCUGGAAAUUUUGAUAGGUCCUUUAUGUCAUGUAUGACUUGUGUGCAAAAGUUGAGGUCAAUCGGACUUGAUUUGAUAGGUUUCGGCAUCGAAUGUAGAAUUUGGAAUUCGUUAGUUUUCAUUAAACUUGAAUUGGGGUGCGAUUCGUGUUUUAGUGUUGUUUAAUGUAAUUUGAGGCAUUGACUAAGUUCGUGUCAUGUUAUGGGACUUGUUAGUAUACUUGGUUGGGGUCCCAUGGGGCUCGGAUGAGUUUUGGAAGAGUUUGGUGUUUUGAGCAUAAGCAUAUAAUGAUCCAAAGGUCCAUUUUUAGUUCUAGAGAUCGAAAUUCGAUUUCGAGACUUAUGGGAGUUUGAUAAUGAAUUAUAGGAAUGAUCUGGAAUGUUUGGUCUAAUUUUAUCAAGUUGCGAUUGAGUUUUUUGCGCGAAACAUGAGUUAAUUGUUUAACGAGCGAAAUUGGUAUCACAUUGAGAAAAUAAACUCCGAAUUGGGUUUAGAUUGAAUGACUAGGUUUGUAUUAUUAUUUGUGACUCAUAGGAAUAAGAAUCGUCGAAUUCCGAGUUCGUAUGAUGGAGUUAGAGCCUUUUUGCUGGUGCAAGCAGGUUCUGGUGCGGACCUUUAGUGAUGGGAAAUCUUGAGGUAAGUCACUUGUGAUCAUUGUUAGUCAAUAAUAUUGAAUUAUCAUCAAAUAUUCCGACUAGUUUAUGUGUUUUUGAGGUGUAAUUCAAGAAUUUGGGCCUAGGGAUUUGAAAAUAGGAUUUGAGGAUUUGAAGGUCAAGUUGAUAUCGGAAUUUGGUAAAUUUGGUGUGGUUGGACUCGUGAUCGAAUGAGCGUUCAUAUUUUGUAACUUUUGUCAGGUUCCGAGAUGUGGGUCCCACUAUUAACUUUUUGUUGACUUUUUUGAAUUUAUUGUGAAAUUUAGCAUUUUCAUAUGGAAUUGAUUCCUACACGUCGUUUUGAUUGUAUCGAAUUAUUUGUGACUAGAUUCAAGGCAUUCGGAUGCCGAAUCGUGAGGAAAUUUUUUAUUGGAAUAAAGAAUUGCACGGUUUGAGGUAAGUAACAUUUCUAAACUUGGAGCUGAGGGUAUGCAUCCCUGAAUUAUGUGUUAUAUGAAUUGUUUGGAGGUGACACACAUGCUAGGUGACAGGCGUGUGGACGUGCACCGUGGAAAUUUGUGACGUAAUUGAUUCCGUAGAAUUUUGUAAUCAAAUAAUUUUGGCAUUAUCCAUGUACUUUCAUGUGUUAAAGAAAUUGAGCUGAGAAUCAUGUUAAAAAUCAUGAUGAGGCUAUAUGCCGUUAUUAUUGAGACCAACAGAGGUCAUAUUAUUGUUGGAUUAUUUAUUUAAAUUAUAAUUUCAUACUCAGUCAUGUUCAUUCAUUUCAUAUCAUAUCUCAGUCUCUAUUGCUAAUUAUUGAUACAUCAUAUUAUUAUAUUUGGGCUGAUUUUCAUGACAUUUUGAGCCCGAGAGACUGGAGAGAUUGAUGAUUGAGUGAGGCCGAGGGCCUGAUUUUGAGGAUAUUUAUGGGAUCAGAUUGCACGCCGCAAUAUGCCAUAUUAAAUUUAUAUACUUUAUUAUUAUGGGAUCUGGCUGCACACCGCAGUAGGCCAGAUUGGCUUAUUAUAGCGCUUGGGCUGAAGGAUCCCCUCCAGAGUCUGCACCCCCCACAGUGAGCGCAAUGGAUAUUAUAUUUGGGAUGGAGUUGACAUAUAUAUAUUCACUUAUGGGAUGGAGUUCCCUGGGCAUGGAGUUGCCUUAUUUAUUUAUUUAUGUAUUUAUUUAUAUUUAGGAUGGAGUUCCCUGGGCAUGGAGUUGCCUUAUUUAUAUUUGGGAUGGAGUUCCCUGGGCAUGGAGCUGCCUUAUUUAUUUAUAUUUGGGAUGAAGUUCCCUGGGCUAGAUUGACCAUAUACAGUACUGAGUGACUGGAUGUCAGCUAUUAUGUAUAUAUAUUUGGGAUGGAUCUUCCUUGGGUUGGAUUGGCCAUAUACAGUACUGUGAGAUCGAGUACUCUGAGAGUGUGAGUACAUGAGUUUAUCAUUGUGCUGCAUUGCAUUAGACUUGCAUACUUGAUAUGUAAGCAUAGAGAAGUAUUUUCCCUCAUGCUAUCUGAUAAUGACAUUUCUUAUUUGUCGUUAAAGUUUUGAGAAAAAUCAUAGGUUUCAGACUUACUCAUAUUUUCGGUGACUUUCGGCAAAGGGUUUGAGUUUUACUGUUAUAUUGAAAAGAAAAUAUUUAUUUUCCGCAAUUUUAUACGAGCUGAGCAUUUUACUAUUGAGUUAUUACUUGUGUUGCUUUAAAUUAUAUUGUUAUGAAUUGUUACUAGUUAUUGGAGUUGGACUUUGACCCUUAUCCCAGCUCGUCACUACUUUCAAGCUAAGGUUAGGUUUGUUACUUAUUGAGUUUAUGUGGUCAGUUGUACUCAUACUACACUUCUGUACCUUGUGUGCAGAUUUCUCAUGCUGAUGUAGCUGUAUACGAUGGGAGCUGGAUUUGAAGAUGUACCUGUAUUCCAGUCAUUGCUGCCUCUUGUUCAUGGUAACUUUAGAAUUUUUAAUAUGUUCAUGUAUAUUUCAGACAAAUGAUGUAUUUUUAUUCCACACCAGUUUUGUAAAUUCUAAUCUUAGAAGCUCAUGAUUUGUACUACCACUCCUUGGGGAGUGUAUUAGAGUCAGUUAAAUAUUAAUUGAAUCAGAUUGUGUUAUUUGGCUUACCUAGAGGGUGAGGUUAGGUGCCAUCAUGGCUAGUUGGAUUUUGGGUCGUGACAAUGGCCUUCCCAGAAUAAUGUUAUAUCCCAUAUCACCAUCUACCACUUCGAAAAGAGUUGUUUUCAUUACUCCUUCGGCGCUUGUGGGUAACAAAAUCUUUCCUCGGGUUGUCACGCUCGCGAGGUUGAAUCCGAUGAGUUUAGCUUCCGGUGAGUUUAGCUUGCUCAAAUACUCUCCAUUGUAUGAUAUUGGCCGAACUUCCUGGAUCCACUAGAACACGUUUAAACUUUAGAUCUAGCACAUUUAAAGAAAUUACCAGUGCGUCGUUGUGCGGCAGCAUCAAUCCGUCUGCGUCCUCCUCCGUGAAAGUGAUAUCAUCUCCGGUGACUUCCUUUUGCUAUGGGUAGGAGUGUUCAUAAAAAUCCGAAAAACCGAACCAAACCGACUAAAAACCCGAUACUCUUUUGGUUUGAUUUGGUUUUGGUUUUGAAUUUUACCAACCGAUCAAAUUUGAUUUGAUUUUGGUUUUAAUAAAAAAAUAACCGAAAAAAUCGAACCAAAUCGAAUAUAGAAGUAGCUAUUUAAAAUUUAUUAUUAUACCUAUAUAUAUGUAUAUUUUUAUACCAAGUUUCUAAAAUUUUAAGUUAUAUUUUAAUAGUUUGCUCUUUUAAUCUAGUUCUUUGCUAUUAUAAUAAUCUAGUUCUUUGCCUUUACAUUCUAGUUUGAUUAGUAAUUUUCUUUUGCUAAAUACAAGAAUUUAUUUCACGUUAAAAAUAAUUUAUUUUUAAUUGAUUCCUAAAAUUAUUCAUCACUAUUUGAUUCAAUUAUAAUCAAUAUAUCUUUGCUAAAUGAUAGAAUUUUCAAAGAGCAAUUGGUUUGACAGUAUUAUGUUAAAAAUGUAGUCGUCGAAAUAUGUGUUUGGUAGUGUAUAUCUCAUAUUUAAGAAAAAACUAAUAAAUAACCGAAAACCGACAAAAACUGACAUACACCGAAUCGAUAAAAAAUCAAAUUAAUGGUUUGGUUUGGUUCCAAUAUUUGAAAAACUAACUUACUUGAUUUGGUUUCUUUUUAGGGAAAACCGAUCCAAACUGAACCAUGAACACCCCUAACUAUGGGUUAUUGAUACUUUUGUCUUUUUUGGUGCCGAAAAGGUGACUCGUGUAUCGCAUUCCACCCGAAGAUCAUGUUGAUCGUUUGGCGCAGGGAAUCUUCUCUUGCUUUCGAGGGUUCCGCGUUGUCCCGAUUAUGACCAUAAUUGUUCUUAGCUCGGUCACUCAAGAAUUCUCUCAGAUCACCAUUCUUCAACAGUGUUGCCAUUUCUUCCCGGAGGUGUCGGCAGUCCCCUGUUCGGUGGACAUUCGUCCCGUGGUAUUCACACCACAAAUUGGGAUCCCUCUAGCUAGGAUCAGAUCUCAUUGGUUUUGGGAAGCGAGCUUCUUUGAUGUUUCUCAUGGCUGACACCAACUCCACUACACUAACAUUGAAAUUGUAUUCUGACAGCUUGGGGUAUGAAGGAUCCCACACCUCUGACCGCGAUCAGUCCUUCUGUCGAUGGCGAACCUGUCCGUUGACCGGAAGCCUCUGCCGCGGCCUUCGGUCCAUUCUUGGGGCAAAAAUCGGUCCCUCGAAGACCGUCUGUCCGUGUCGAAAUCAUAUUUUGAUUUUUCUCUGUUCUUCUCCCAUCCUUUUGUCGAUGAUGGAAAGCCAACUUGAUAAUCUUCGAUCCUUAUUUUUGAUUCGUACCCGGUUGUGGACAUCCGCCCAUGUUGUUGCUUGAAACUCAAACAGGCUUUCCUCAAUUUUCGGGAAGUGUCUCAACUUUUGGGAUUUAGUCCCUUGGUGAAUGCUUCAACCGCCCAUUCAUCCGGGACAACCAGGAGCAAUAUUCUCUCCUUCUGGAAUCAGGUAACAAACUCUCGUAGAAACUCGGACUCUCUUUGCGCCAUCGUGAAUAUGUCAGCCUUUCAGGUCUGUACUUUUCUGGCCCCGUUAUGAUCCUUGAUAAAAGAGUCUGCGAUCAUCUCAAAGGAGUCUAUGAAAUGCUUGGGCAAUAGUGAAUACCACAUCAAGGCUCUCCUCGUGAGAGUCUCUCCAAAUUUCUUCAGCAAAAUAGAUUCAAUUUCGUGAGGAGCUAAAUCAUUUCCCUUCACCGCAAUUGUAUAGGUGGUAAUAUGCUCCUGAGGGUUUGAAGUUCUGUCAUACUUUGGCACAUCAUGCAUUUUAAAUUGCUCCGGAAUUAAUUCUGGUGCCUAACUUGGCUUGUAUGGCAACUGAGUAUACUUCUUUGAGUCCGGACCUUUCAGCACCGGUGGUGCGCCCGAGAUUUGGUCCAUGCGGGCGUUCAGUUCCCUCAUAAAUCAUAAGAGUUCAUUCUUGAAGGGAUCGUUUUCGUUAUUGGGUCCAGAUCCGCUCCUCCCAGCUCCAUCGGAGCCAACUUCGCCCCUCUGCAUUGUUUGAUUCGCGGGAGCAUCGGGAGGAACCGAAUCUCGUCUAUUCGCAUUAUUCGAAGCCCCCGACAGCGCCUGCUUCAACUCCGUCAUAACCUUAUCCUGUCGCGUGAGGUAGCCUAGAAUGAUCGCCUGUUGUUCUUGUAGGACCCUUACCGCGUCAACGACAUGUUCCUCCUCAGCAUCAUCGGGAGUUGUCUCCCGAAAAUAUCGAGGAUAUUGCUUGUCAUGCACCGGCGUGACGUCAUUCCCCUCGUUGUGGGUGUCACUGAUUGAGUCCUCGAAAUAAGGUUGAUCCUCUCAAACCUCGGGAUUGUGUGUGUUGUUAACACUGUUAUCUAUCAUUUCUUAUGAUUUUUUCUAACACAAAAAAAAUCAAAACACGUUAGUAAAAAAGGCAAGGAUCAACUUAAUUGCACAAUUGUCUAGGCCCCACGGUGGGCACCAAACUGUUUACCCGUAAUACGGUACAAAUGAAUUUAUACGUGGUUUCUAGAUAAGUGAAUUAAUUCGAUCCUGAAAUAACAAGAUAAUUGAAGAAAUAUAUAACACUUAGCCUUGAUAGGAAGACAAAAUGACAAAAAUAAAGACUCUAGUAGUGAAGCCUCCGGGUGCAACAGUAAUAAGAAUAAGAACAUAAAAUAAGAAGGUAAAAUUGAUUAGAGCUUUGAGUAGAUUGUAGUAUUAGUUUGCCGGAAAAUUCAUGUCCUUACAAUGAUAAUCGAGCUCACUAUUUAUAGCUACGUCUAGAAAAGGGAGUCCUAGGAUCGUGCCAUUCUUUAAUGUCAAUUAUGAGGGCCGCCAUUGAUGAAGAUGUUACGGUGAGCAUAAAUGCCAAAUUCCUUGUAACGGGCAACGUACUUAAUACUGUGAAAUAUUCUCCAUUAAAUGCUACCGGGGGAAGAAUAUUUAUUGCAUCCUUAUGAGCGUUAUACUUUCCGGUGACAUACGGGACCGUUGUCUUCGGUUUUGGCUAUCCCGUCUUAGGUUCCACGUGUCCCUCUUUUGGGCGGCCACGUAGCAUAGCAUAUUUUACCCUAUACAAGAAUAAAAUUAAUUAAGUUGACUAUUAUAUAAUAGUACUAAGCUAUAACUGAUUUUCGAAAAAGACAAAAAAAUAAACUAAUUUGCUAUUAAAUACUAAGUUAUAUUGAAUUCAAAGAAAUAAAAUAGGAAGGAGGAAAAGCUCAAGCUGGGUUUCAAACCAACAUUAACCAGUAAGAGAGGAAACUUGCGCGCUCCACUCAAUCAUUCCUCCAGUUCGGCUUUUUUGUUUGAGGGCACAAGUAAAUUAUUUAAGGGAUUUCAGCUGUAUUUUCAAUAUAUAUAUAUAUNNNNNNNNNNNNNNNNAACAACUUCAAAAUAUUGUAUAAGUGGUCAUGAACGUAAAAAGUUGCAGAGGAUUAUUGCUUUGGACGAUAAUUAGAUUAAACAAGGUUGUGAUAAAGUUAACAUAGACCACGCAUAGAACAAAACAUUUGAAAUAUAAAAAUAAGAGCAAGUUAACACAAAAAACAAACAUCGAGCAAAUUAUAAUACAGCACAUUAGACAUUGCGAAUUUAAUAUAACGUGAGCCUUAUUUUUCUAUAAGCCGUCAAAAUUAUACACAUGUAGAGUCAUAUUCCUUUAUUGCCUCUCCCCUAUUUUUAUUCCUCUAUAUCGUUCCAGUUUUAUCGGAUAUCCCCGAUGGAACACAUGUUGGCGCUCUUUAUCUUUCCUAAAUUGACGACAUUAUUAGUCCAGAGACCUUUUUGUCUUUCUAUUCCUAUCUCCUUCCUCGUUGCAGCGCCCAUCUGGUUCUAUAUAUGUUUUACACUUUGGUGAUGGGCGUGGCAAAAUCAACGAAAAAUCGAGGGAGGAAUAGGUUUUUCAAUUGUUGUAGACCCGUAAAUUUCAACGAUGACACCAUUAUAAAACGGAGUCAUGCAUAUAAGUCGAAAGAUCCAUCCUUGAAGCGUGUAAGAUCACAAGAAAAGUUGGACUCAAUGUUGGCCAAAGAUUUCACCAAAAACUUUCGGCAAAGCCGAAAGGAGAAUGUCUUUUGCAGAAGUUUCUCUGAUGCACUCAAAUAUGUGUUUUCCGAGACAGCAUUGGUAAGUCUAGGGGAAAACAUAGAAUGAAACAAAAGAAAAUUAGAAAAUUUUGUCCAGAAAAUGAAGAAUUACUGAAUAUGUAUGCAAUUGUUUUUGCGUUAUCCUUUUAUCGACCAUAAUUAUUACUAUUAUUGUUUGAAACUCUGGGCAUAUGACAUGCACCAAUCGCGUACACAUUAUAUGUUGCACUCUUAUCAGUUAUCACUAGACCAAAGCCCCGGAGCACCAUAAUUGUAAUUUUAUUACAUUGUUAGCAAUAGAGUAACUAGGUAAUGGAUUCGAGUUGGAUUGAUAUGCUACUCGUGAUAUUGUUUUUGUUGCUUAAUCAUAUAUAUGAAUUUCUCGAUAAGAUACGUACGUUAUUUGUAUGUAUAUCAUGCCUCUUUUCUUGAUUUCAAUUUGCUUUGGUUUAAGCUGUUAUCAUUUUCAAUUAUUAAUUUGGUGAAACAAUCAAAUUAAAUUGUUUCGUAGGGGAAGAAGAGUCAGAAGAAAGAGCCAAAGUAUUCAUUUGGAUCAAGUAAGAAGUUGUCAUUAAAGUUGGAGAAGAUAUUUUAUUCUAUGAAUGAAUCAAGGUCUUCAUCAAAGAAUUUCUCAAAUAUAGAUGGGAACUCCAGAAUAAGCUCGGAUGAUUCUUCCUUAUUUACGUCUUCAACUUCAACCUCUUCAUCUCCUCCAUCUUCUUCUUGUGCAUCUUCGAGAUCUACAUCGCAGAGAAAGCAAUUCCCAUCUUUUCACAAAUCGAAAUCAGUGAACAAUAUGCAAGUUUAUGACAAUAUAAAAGAAAAAGAAAUUGCCUUACGUUACAACAAGAACGUUGGAAUCUAUUCUCUAUUAAUUUGUUUAUUGGUUAUGAUCUUUUUUGGGAAAGUUUUUGCCAUUGUUUGCACUUCAACAUGGUUAUACUUUGCCCCUCGUUGUUUCAAACGCAUUGACUCGAAAGAGGACAAGAGAAAUGUUAUCGUGGAAGGGUUUUUUGAAAGAUCUCAUAAUCGAUUGUUGUAGUACAAAGAAGUAUAUAUGUCCCUACUUAAUUAGAUAUAUUCUCCUAUCCAUCCUAUCCUUUUUCUUACUUUUUCAUUAUAUCAUGUAAGCCUGUGCAAUUGCAAUGGCCUUAUUUGUCGUAUUGUUAAAUUGUACAAUAUGUUACAGAAUGAUACGAAGAAGAAACAAAAAAUUUGCAUAGAUGUAGUACUUCUCUUGUCAUCUUAAUUAUAUGCUAUUAUGCUAUUAAACUGUGCUAUUAAAAGAGGAAGAAACACCACCUAAGAGGCUAACAUUUUGAAUAGCUAAGAAACGGUAACAAAUUAGAAUAAUAGAUUAGUGAAAGAGGUGAUUUUUAUAUUAUAUUUUAGAUGUAGUUCGUUUGUUUAUUUUAUAUGCUAGUAAUAUUUUAAAAGAACCAGAAAAGUAAUUGAAGUCCUCUUUACAUGUUACGGCUUCUUACCAUUACCAACUUUAGGUUUACUAGAGUAAAAUAUUCUUUUGGUACAUCAUAAUAUCCUAUAUAUGACUUCUGCUUCAUGUAAUUAGGUGAUCCGUAUUAGAUGCUUCGAUAAUGGAAAUUUUAUAAUUUCAUAGUAACUUCUAUUCCCUAAGCGAGAGAAAUAAAAUGUUACAAUGGUUUGAAGAUUUCAUUAAUCUCAACUAUCAAGUAGUUGAGAAGUUCAGAGUAAAUUUUAUGGGUGGUCAUUCAAUUUUGUAUUCAUUACCCAAAAAUCACUUUUUUUUUGGCAAGAAGGAAAAUAUCAUUAAUACUAGGUAGAUAUUACAUGAGGACAAGGGCUAAUGUCCCUGAAGUUUCUAAUAAUACAAGCAUUACCUAGUUGUGCUAAUAUGUUACAAGUACCAGAGGAAACUUUCUUAGAUAUUACAUGACCAUCUUUGUCCCUUUGUAGUGUAACAGAAACCAAAAUUUGGCGUCGCUGGUAGGAUGUGGAGUUGGCUGACUAGUAAGUUCUUACUUCCAUGUUGAGCCAAAAGGUGCGCCACUUCGUUGCAUUCACGAAAGCUAUAGUGGAGUGCUGGAUUCCCCAACUUCUUCAUCAAGUACCUACAAUCAGAGAGAAUGUUUGUGUAAGUCGGAUAAUUAUUUUGUAACAAGUGUAGGAUUUCCGUAGAAUCGGUUUCUACUUCCAAUGGGAGUAUGCUCAUUUGUUAGGCCAAUUGAAGGCUUGAGUGAAGAGCAAAGAGUUCCAUGUGUGUAUGGUUGUGUCCAUAAGUUGCUUUAGUAAAUCCAACUACCCAGUUGCCUUGGUCAUCUUUUAUCACUCCUCCUACGCCUCCUUGAGUGUCACUGCUCUUGAAAGCACCAUCAAUGUUAAGCUUAAAUCGUCCAGCUAUGGGUGGGUACCAUUUAAUAUGGAUGGAACAUAGAUGUAGCAUGCUCGUGACUUUAUUAGCUAUAAGGAUGAAAUCUUGCACAUGCAUUAUCAAAGUUUGGAUGUGAAUUGGGUUUGAACGAUUUUUAAAGAUAUUACGGUUCCUGUUUAGCCAAAUAUGCCAAAGUGCAAAAGGGAAAAAGAAGAUCCAGGUUACUUGGGGAAGGUGGAGCUGUGCAUUGAUGUUCUUUAUGCUUAAUAACCGGUGGUCAUCGGGGGAGGAGAGGUUGUUCAUAUCUAUCCCUAUAGAAUUCCAAAAAAUAAGGGCGAUGGGGCAUUCGAUAAAGAUAUGUUUGGCUGAUUCGUUCCCAUUUUUACACAUUGGACAAAUAGCACUGUCAAUAAUUCCUAGUCUGUGUAGAUAAGCACGAGUAGGAAUUCUAUCGUGGAGACAUUGUCAUAGGAAAAAUUUGAUCUUAUUAAGGGAAUGAAGCUUCCAGAUUCAUUGGAAGGAAUGUCUAGUAUGAGUGUCUUGCUGGAGAAGCUUGUAGACGGAUUUAAUAGUGAAUAUUCCAUUGAUGUUAAGCGACCAGAUAGGGGUGUCAGUGCAAUUAGAAGUAGUUGGGAAAUGGAUGGACAUGGUCUUAUUUUUAAUGUCCUUCGGAAUUUCAAAGGAGAUGUUAAAGCAGUUCCAAUUAUUGUUUUGGCCUAAAGACUCAACUUUGGAAUUAAGUUCUGAGUGGUGUAACGGUCUGUAGAUAAUGGAGCGUAGUCUAUUUGAGUGAGGAAUCUAUUUUGAAUUCCAGAGGUCAAUAUGCUUGUCGUUGCCUACUACCCAGGCUAACCCUUGGGAGCAAAUGUUCUAGCCACGCAGAAUAUUCUGCCAAAUAAAGGAGUUUUUGUGGGAACAAUUACCUCUACCAUAUUUGGUGAUAAGAGUGGUAGCCCAUAGGGAGUUUGGCUUCAUAUAGAGUCUCCAGGAGAGGCUAGCUAAAAAAGCUGUAUUUGUUUGGGAAGCCGGUCUAAGUCCAAGACCUCCUUGAGUUUUCGAACGAGUGAUAUUUUUCCAACUAAGGUAGUGGAGUUGUUUUACGGCUAUUAGUAGAACCCCAUAUAAAAACUCGGUGGAUUUUGUCUAUUUUCUAUUUGCUUAAGGGUUUUUGUGGGGAGUUAAAUAUAUUGCAUGGAGUGGUUUGGAAUAGUGUUCAAAGUUGCUGGAGUAAGGGUCAUACUUCCCAAUGGGGCAGGGAAGUUGGUUUUUCAUCCCGAAAGUUUGCUUCGCAUGUUGUCAAUAAUGUAUUGGACGUCAGAUGCUUUUGGCCUCUUAUUUAAUAUAGGAAAACCUAAAUAUUUACUAAAAGUGUCAGUAGAAUUGAUAUUAAAUUUAGAAGUAAUGGCUUUAGUGAUAGAAUUAUCACAGGUUUUGGAGAAGAGAAUUUUGGACUCAGAGAUAUUGAUCUUUUAUCCAGAGAGAGAGCAUAAGUGAGUAAGGCAAUGAUGAAUUGAGUUAGCAGACUCAGUAGUGGCGUUAGACACGAGUGAUUGAUCAUCUGCAAAGAAGAGAUGUGAUAGUUGGGGACCAGUGGGACAUAAUUUUAUGGGGUACCAAAGGCCAACAUCGACUUGGUGGUUAAUAUAGACUGAUAGUAGCUCCAUGCAUAGAAUAAAGAUAUACGGGGACAUGGGAUCUCCUUGCCGGAUGCCCCUAGUUGGAGCAAAGAAGUUAGUUUUGGCUCCAUUUACAAGCACUGCUAUAGUGCUACAACUCAUAAUUAAUCUAGUGAUGUUUGGAGGGAAUUUGAAAAAUUUUAGGGCACGAUAGACAAAGGACCAUUCAAGUCUGUCAAAAGCUUUUACGAGAUCUAUUUUAAGGUUGAGUUUACCUCUAGAACCUUUAAGUUUUUGAAUAUGACCAAUGAUUUCUUGGAUGAUGAUUGCAUUAUCACACGGUUUACGCCCUUUAAGAAAGCUAUCUUGGUAAGGACCAAUGAUUUUGUCCAGCAAGGGCUUAAUACAAUUGACAAUAAUUUUUGUAAUGAUCUUGUAAAUAAUAUUGCAAAGUCCAAUAGUCCAAAUAUUUUUGAGAUUGUUAGCAUUAUGAAACUUGGGGAUGAGGCAUAAGUAGAUUUUAUUAAUAAAGUUGGGAAUUGAUUGGGUCCUAAAUAUUUCAUGACAAAGCUUAGUAAUUGAGGGCCCUACAAUAUUCUAGUUAUUUUGGUAAAAGAAAGGAUGGAAUCCAUCCGGUCCUGGGGACUUAAAGGGCUUGAAGGAUAAUAAAGCAGAUAUAAUUUCUUGGUCACCUAGGGGUCUAUCUAGGUUAGAAAGGUCAGUAGUGUUGAAACUCGUAGGACUCUUGUUGAUAUCUUUCCAAUUAGUGGAUAUAUGGCUUGUAGAAAAAGCAGACUGGAAGUAAGCAAGGGUGUUGUAUUCAAGUGAGAGGCUUUGUUCCAGAUUUUGGAGAAAAAUACUAGUAGGGUAGUGACAAGAUUGUUGGAUACCGUUAAGUCUAGCUAGGAGUUUUUUCUUUUGAUGAAAAAUUAUAAUGAUCCGGCCGGUUGUUUUGAGUAUUACAGUCCUGUUUCACCAUUUACUGCUUAUCUUGUAUUCUAUUAUAAUUAUGUGACUCGUCGGUGAGGUUUCAAAAUAAAUUGGAACACUUAGUUCCAAGAUUUAAAGCAUAAGUUGAAAUAGUUGACUGGAUAUUGACUCAUAUGUAAACGAUCCCAGAAUAGAGUUUUGAUGAUUCCAAUAGCUCCGUAUGGUGAUUUUGGACUAAGGGGUGUAUCCGAAAAAUUAUUUAGAAGUCUGCAGUUAUCUGUUACAUUUCGCAUUUUCGUACGUUAAAGUUUCAUCGUAAGUUGAUCAACGUAAGCUCGGGAAUGAGAUUAAUUUUGAGGAUAUAGGUAAUUAUGUUAUUUAUAACAGGUGAUAAGUAAAUGCCGUGAAGGUUAUAGGGUAAACAAAUCGAAGAAAAUGAGUUUCAUUGAAGUUUGACAAUUUGGGAUAAAAUAAGGUCCAAGCUAUAAUACCCCGUAUUUAUGGAUUAGUAUCAUAUAAUAUACCACAUGACCAUGAUAGUAAGAUGUAUAAAGUAUGUUAAAAGUAAUUAGUAUUUUAAAUAAAUUAGGAUAGUACCUAAUUAUGUUGGUAAGGGGUUAAUUAUUGAUUUUAGUGGGAAGUUAACAAAUUAAUUAGAAAUUGAUGGAUAAGUAUUUGGUGGAAACAUCACCCCCACGUGGCAGGAAGGGGUUAUAUUUGCUAAGACCAAAUAGUGACUCUUUGGCUUAUGUGGCUAGGUGGCAUAGUUAGCGGAUGCUUGGCAAAGUAAUCCACGAAGUGGGGCCCACAAACCACAAUGAUAAGAAAUCUUCCUACAUCAUUAAAGUGUGAUGUUUAUGUUUUGCUAAGUAACGGAUGGAGCCAUAAAAGAAUUUAUACGAAACUACAUAAUGCUAUAGCAGCGUGAGUUGCAAAUUCUAAGGGAGUACAGUACAAUCUUUCUCAAGAAUAUCAUAAGAAUUUUUCCCUAUUUCGAUCCAUUGUUACGUCUUUUUUUGCAAAAGACGUGGGUUAGAGGGAUUGUUAAAAGAAUUGACUCAAGUAUGUUAAGGCUAUCCCUUAUUUCCUUUUGGCAUGAUCCCUAUGAUACAAAUGAAACGAGCAAACACACAACUUUCAUAAAUGCCUCUAUUCAUAGAAGUACUAGGGGUGCCUAUGUUCUUGAUUCCCCACGUGUAUUAUUAUUAUAUCUUCUGUUCACGGGUCUCAGAAAAAUAUGUAGUUGAUAAAAUUUAUCCGAAGGCAUAUUGAUUUUCUGACAUUCCGANNNNNNNNNNNNNNNNNNNNNNNNNUAUAUAUAUAUAUAUAUAUAUAUAUAUAUAUAUAUAUAUAUAUAUAUAUAAAUAUGUGUGUGUGUGUGUGUGUGUGUGUGUGUAUGGGGGUAUGAGGAAAGGUUACAACGUUAUAUACGCAGCACCACCUGAUCAGCUAGUAUACGCUGAUGAUUUCGCCUACUGAGGCCGAGAUGAUAUGAUGGGAUGCCCUCAGAGACUUGAUGACGUUAUGUACGCAUAUACCUAUGCAUGAUAUGACAUUUAUACGCACAUGCAUGACAUUAUAAAUAUUUCAGGAUUUACAAAAUUAUUUAGGCUUACAGGCGGAUUCCUUUACUCCAUACUUAUUUUAUGUCUUCUAUGUACUGAUUUUCAUACCUUACAUACUCGGUACAUUAUUCGUACUGACGCCCAUAUUUCCUGAGGCCUGCGUUUCAUGCCCGCAGGUUCAUGUAGACAGGAUGAUGGUCCCCCUUCUUAGGAUCCUUGCUCAACGAGAGUUGGUGUGCUCCAUUUGAUCCGGAGUUGCUUUUGGGUUUUGGUACGAUAUGUUUGUAUAUAUAUAUGGGUAUGACAGGGCCUAGCCCCAUCCUUUAUACAGAUGUAUACUAUAUUAGAGGUCUGUAGACAGUCAUGUAUAGUCGGAUAGUAUGUGGCCUUGUCGGCUCACCCUACCGUAUUCUGUAUAUAUAUAUGUACAUAUGUCUUUUGAGCACGUUUUCUCGCGUAUGUUAUUUACACAAUUUAGUAGUUUACUGCCAGACGUUAUGCAUUUCCUACACGUAUUUCAUGUUUUAUCUUAGACGUAUGCUUAGGGAUGUUCGACAUGCAGGCUCGGGCACUCGUCGUGGCCCAUCAGUUUGGGUCGUGACAAAAGUGGUAUCAGAGCAGUUCUGCCCUAGGGUUGUCUAUAGACCGUGUCUAGUAGAGUCUUGUUUAUGAGUGUGUUGUGCACCACAUUUAUAAACAUAAGGCUACAUGACAUAUAGGAUGUUAUCCUCCCUUCUUAUCUUAGAUCGUGCGAAAUAAGGAUUCAUUUUCCUAAUGAUAUGUUAUGUUUUCAGCGAAGCCUCCGAAGGCUACAGCCGCCCAAAAGGGCAAGUCUGUGGCUGAUAAGACUGCUAGUCGAGCGCCACGAGUUACGAGGGCUCGGGGAGAGUCUUUUAGUGAGAUUCCAUCUAAGACUUCACAUACCCCGCCAUCUCCAAAGGAGCUCCGAGGGGCACCAGCUCCAGCACCGGCCGCUGUACACCCAGCUCCUCAGCUAGAUGCACUAGGUCAGGAGAUGAGAGAUGUUAUUCAGCUAUUGACUCGAUUAGUAGCCGCACAAUCUCGGCGUCAGGAAAUAGGUAUUGGUCAUUCAGAUAGGUCCAUCAAUGCGAGGGUUUGUGAUUUCAUUAAUUUGGACCCUCAUUCACUGGAGCAGAUCCAAACGAGGACCCUCAGGUAUUUAUUGAUAGGAUGUAGAGGACUUUGAAGGUAAUGAAGGCCAUUGCGACUAAGUCAGUUGAGCUAGCUUUCUAUAGACUUUGGGAUGUCGCAGUUAAUUGGUACGAUUCUUGGGAGUUGUCCAGAGGUGAGGAUGCCCCUCCAGUGGUAUGACAGGAGUUUACAGAGGCUUUUCUUCGUCAUUAUCUUCCACCAGAACUUAGACGGGCCAGAAUUGAUAGGUUCUUGACCCUUCGGCAGGGUAAUAUGAGUGUUCAAGAGUACAACCUUCAGUUUGAUUCUUUGGCUAGGUAUGCUCCCACUAUUGUAGAUAGGAUGGAUGAUCGGGUUCACCGGUUCGUGAUGAGGUUGGAGACGCACUUGCUUAACGACUGUAUGUCGGUCUCACUUAGCCAUGCAUGGAUAUUUCUCGUAUUCAGGCAUACACUCAGGGUGUAGAUGAGCGUAAGCAGAAGCAAAGGGCCGAUAGUGAGCAUGAUAGGGGCCAGAGUAAGAAAGCGAGAUCUUCAGGUCCUUCUGGUGAGUUUCGAGGUGGUCAGAGACAGCAGUACCCGAGGUAUUCCGCCCAGCCAUCGGCUAGUGCACUCCCUCAGUUUGCCGGUAAGAGAUUUGAUCGUUUCGCAUAUUCAGGGCCCAGUAAGAGUUUCAGGGCCUCUAGUUCUCAGUAUAGGGGUGAGUCAAGUUAGAUGAGGCCACCCUUGCCACGAUGUGCUCAGUGUGGUAAGCAGCAUGUCGGGCAGGCUGAGAGAGUUGAAAGAACAACUAAGGGAUUUGCUUGAAAAAGGAUUUAUUAAACCUAGUACAUCACCGUGGGGAGCACCCAUGUUAUUUGUGAGGAAGAAAGAUGGUUCCUUGCGACUAUGUAUUGAUUACAAACAGUUGAAUAAGGUGAUGAUCAAGAAUAAGUACCCACCCCCGAGAUUGAUAUUUUAUUUGAUCAGUUGCAGGGUGCCAAAUGUUUCUCAAAGAUAGACUUGAGGUCUGGGUACCAUCAGGUAAGGGUUAAGGAGAAAGAUAUUUCGAAGAUAGCAUUCAGGACCAGAUACGGGCACUUUGAGUUUCGUGUUAUGUCAUUCGGUUUGACCAACGCCCCAGCAGUAUUCAUGGACUUGAUGAACCGUGCGUUCAGACCCUUUCUUGAUUUUUUUAUGAUUGUAUUUAUCGAUGAUAUAUUGGUUUACUCCUGUUCAGAGGCUGAGCAUGCAGAUCAUUUGCGUACGGUGCUUAGAGUUCUACAAAAAGAGAAGUUGUACGCAAAACUCUCUAAAUGUGAAUUCUGGUUGAAUUCUAUAGCUUUCAUUGGGCAUAUUAUUUCAGGUGAGGGUAUCCAGGUUGAUACCCAAAAGAUUGAGGCAGUGAAGACUUGGCCUAGACCCACGACACUGACAGAGGUUUGUAGCUUCCUCGGUUUAGCAGGUUAUUACAGGAGAUUCGUAGAGGGGUUUUCUUUUCUUUCAGCACUAUUGACAAAGUUGACUCAGAAGAGAGCUAAGUUUCAAUGGACUAAUGCUUGCGAGUGGAGUUUCUAGGCAUUGAAGGGCAAAUUAACUUCAGCAUCGGUUCUAAUACUCCCAGUGGGAACCGAUGGUUAUGCUAUAUAUUGUGACGCUUCGGGCGUUGGAUUGGGUUGUGUACUGAUGCAACAUGGUAAGGUUAUAGCUUAUGCUUCUAGACAACUAAGAAAUCACGAGAAGAAUUACCCGACCCACGAUUUAGAGUUAGCCGUGGUGAUUCAUGCACUAAAGAUGUGGAGGCACUAUUUGUGUGGCAUUCAUGUUGAUAUCUAUACGGAUCAUAAGAGCCUUCAGUAUAUCUUAAAGCAAAAGGAAUUGAAUUUACUCCAAAGGAGAUGGUUGGAGCUACUAAAAUACUAUGACGUUGAUAUUUUAUACCAUCCGGGGAAGGAAAAUGUAGUAGCCGAUUCCCUCAGCUGUAGAUCUAUGGGUAGCCUGUCAUAUUUACAGCCAGAGAAGAGUGAGAUAGUCCAUGAGAUUCAUCAGCUAGCUAGUCUUGGAGUUCGAUUACUGGACUCAGGUGAUACCAGAGUUACUAUUCAGGACACGACAACAUCCUCUCUAGUAACUGAAGUGAAGGGACUCCAGUACGAGGAUCCUGUGUUAGCUCAUUACAGAGAUACAGCCCCUCAGAAAGAGAAGACACCAUUUGAGAUUACAGGAGAUGGGGUCCUCAGAUAUCGAGGACGAUUACGUGUCCCUAAUGUUGCAGGGUUGCGCUGGCAGGUUGUGGGAGAGACUCACUAUUCUUAUUAUUCUGUUCAUACAGGAGCAACAAAGAUGUAUCAUGAUAUUAGGGAAAUAUAUUGGUGGGACGAAAUGAAAAAGGAUAUAGCGGAGUUUGUUGCUUAGUGCCCUAACUGCCAGCAGGUUAAUAUUGAGCAUCAAAAACCCGGUGGAUUAGUGCAGGCUACAGAGAUUCUGACUUGGAAGUGGGAAGUAAUUAAUAUGGAUUUCAUCAUAGGCUUACCUCGUACCCAGCGUAAGUUCGAUCUAUAUGGGUGAUUGUUGAUAGACUUACAAAAUCAGCCCAUUUUCUGCCUGUUAGGAUUACAUAUUCAGCAGAGGAUUAUGCAAGGCUUUACAUUAAGGAGAUAGUACGACUUCAUGGUGUCCCUAUAUCUAUUAUAUCGGAUAGAGGUGCUCAGUUUACAGCUAAUUUCUAGAGGUCCUUCCAAAAAGUAUUGGGGACUCAGGUAAAUCUUAGUACAAUAUUUCAUCCCCAGACAGACGGACAGGCUGAGUGUACUAUUCAGACACUUGAGGAUAUGUUACGGGCUUGUGUGAUACACUUCAAGGGUAGCUGGGAUGAUCAUCUGCCACUUGUUGAGUUCACGUAGAAUAAUAACUAUUAUUCCAGUAUUCAGCUAGCUCCAUACGAAGCUCUUUACGGACGGAAGUGUAGGUCACUUAUCGGAUAGUUCGAUGUUGGGGAAACUAAGUUAGUAGGACCAGAGUUGGUACAAUAGGAAGUCGAGAAGAUUAAGCUUAUACAAGAAAAACUAUUAGCAGCUCAAAGCCAUUAGAAGUCUUAUGCGGAUAAUUGACGACGAGACUUGGAGUUUCAGGUUGACAACUGGGUAUUCCUCAAGUUAUCAUCGAUGAAAGGAGUUAUGAGGUUCGGUAAGAAAGGAAAACUUAUCCCUCGGUACAUUGGACCAUAUAAGAUCAUACGCAAGGUAGGCCAGCUAGCAUAUGAGUUAGACUUGCCUUCUGACUUGUAGUCUAUACAUCCAGUCUUUCAUGUGUCUAUGCUCCGUAAGUGUAUCGGAGAAACUUCUAGAAUAAUGCCAGUUGAUGAUGUUUAGCUCACAAAGCAGUUAUCAUAUGAGAAAGAUCCCAUUGCUAUACUAGAUAGACAGGUUCGGAGAUUUAGAACUAAGGACGUAGCUUCGGUUAAAGUACUUUGGAGAAAUAAUAAUGUGGAAGAAAUGACUUGGGAAGCUGAAGAAGACCUGAAGUCUAGGUAUCCUCACUUGUUUUCUCUUCCAUAGGAGGAUCAGACUGAGACAUCACAACCUUAAGGUGCGUGUAUGGAUUCUUGUAUUAGUUAUUGUCAUUGGUCGUGUGAGGCCAUUGUCGUUGUUGAUGAAUAUGGCCCUGUAUGGCCUUGUAUUAGUUGGUAUGCUGCGUGGCAAGUUGUUAGUAAGUAGUUCAGUUUAUAGAAGAGAUUUUGGCAAAAUUUUCGCAAGUCUCUAAGAGUUAACAUUCAAGGAAGAAUGUUUCUAAAGGGGGAAGGAUGUUACAUUUCGCAAUUUUGAACGUUAAAGUUUCGUCGUAAGUUGAUCAAUGUAAGCUCAGUAAUUAGAUUAAUUUUGAGGAUAUAGGUAAUUAUUUUAUUUAUAACAGGAGAUAAGUAAGUGCCGUGAAGGUUAGAGGGUAAACAAAUCGAAGAAAAUGAGUUUUGUUGAAGUUUGACAAUUUGGGAUAAAAUACGGUCCAAGCUAUAAUACCCCAUAUUUAUGGACUAGUGCCAUACAAUGUACCACAUGACCAUGAGAGUAAGGUGUAUAAAGUAUGUUAAAAGUGAUUAGUAUUUUAAGUAAAUUAGGAUAGUACCUAAUUAUAUUGGUAAGGGUUAAUUAUUGAUUUUAGUGGAAAGUUAACAAAUUAAUUAGAAAUGGAUGGAUAAGUAUUUGGUGGAAACAUCACCCCCACGCGGAAGCAAGGGGUUAUAUUUGCUAAGACCAAAUAAUGACUCUUUGGCUUAUGUGGCUAGGUGGCAUAUUUAAGGGAUUUUUGGCAAAGUAAUCCAAAAAAGUGGGGCCCACAAACUAAAAUGAUAAGAAAUCUUCCUACAUCAUUAAAGUGUGAUGUUUAUGCUUUUCUAAGUAACGGAUGGAUCCACAAAAGAAUUCAUACGAAACUACAUAAUACUAUAGCAGCGUGAGUUGCAAAUUCUAAGGGAGUACGGUACAAUCUUUCUCAAGAAUAUCAUAUGAAUUUUUUCCUAUUUCGAGCCGCCGUUACGUGUUUUAUCGCAAAAGACAUGGGUUAGAGGGAUUGUUAAGUGAAUCGGCUCAGGUAUGUUAAAGCUAUCCCUUCUUUCCUUUUGGCAUUAUCCCUAUGAUACAAAUGAAACGAGCAANNNNNNNNNNNNNNNNNNNNNNNNNUGUGUGUGUGUGUGUGUGUGAGGUAUGAGGAAAGGUUACGGCGUAAUAUACGCAACACCACCUGAUCAGUUGGUAUACGCUGAUGAUUUCCCCCACUGAGGCCGAGAUGAUAUGAUAGGAUGCCCUCAGAAGCUUGAUAACGUUAUGUACGCAUAUACCUAUGCAUGAUAUGAUAUUUAUACGCAUAUGCAUGACAUUAUAAAUAUUUUAGGAUUCACAAAGUUAUUUACGCUUACAGGCAGAUUCCUUUACUCCAUACUUCUUUUAUGUCUUCUAUGUACUGAGUUACAUGCCUUACAUACUCGGUACAUUAUUCAUACUGAUGCCCCUAUUUUUUGGGACCUGCGUUUCAUGCCUGCAGGUGCAGGUAGACAGGUUGACGGUCCCCCUUCUUAGGAUCCUUGCUCAACGAGAGUUGAUGUGCUCCAUUUGAUUAGGAGUUGCUUUUGGGUUUUGGUACGAUAUUUUUGUAUACAUAUAUGGGUAUGACAGGGGCCCGUCUUGUUCCUUAUACAGAUGUACACUCUAUUAGAGGUCUGUAGAUAGUCAUGUAUAGUCGGAUAGUAUGUGGCCUUGUCGCCUCGCCCUACCGUAUUUUGUAUAUAUAUGUACAUAUGUCUUUUGGGCACGUUUUAUCGCGUAUGUUGUUCACACAAUUCAGUAGUUUACUGCCAGACAUUAUUCAUUUCCUACACUUAUUUCAUGUGUUAUCUUAGAUGUAUGCUUAGGGGUGUUCGACAGGUAGGCUCGGGCACUCGUCAUGGACCAUCGGUUUGGGUCGUGAUAGUAUCCUGUUGGGAUCCAUUGUGGUCAUUACUGCUAUUUAGUUAUCUGCUUAUAUUGCAAUUUCAUAUCUCAGUCUCUGUUGUUAUUAUCAUUUUUGGGCUAGUUUCAUGACAUUAUGAGCCUGAGAGACUGGAGAGAUUGAUGACUGAGUGAGGUUGAGGGCCUGAUUUUGAGUUAUUGAUACUAUAGAACGUGAGUUGUCCGUGUAGCACGUGAGUUAUCCAUGCAGAUCCAGAUAUUGAUACUAUAGUAUGUGAGUUGUCCGUGCAGCACGUGAGUUGUCCAUGUGGAUACGAAUACUAAUACUAUAGCAUGUGAGUUGUCCGUACAGCACAUGAUUUAUCCGUGCGGAUUAUAGCGCUUGGGCUAAAGGAGCCUCUCCGGAGUCUGCACACACCCCCAGUGAGCGCAGGUACCUACUGAGUGCCAAUGCCGAGUGAUUGGCAGGACUAAGUGACCGUGAGGACUGAGUGAAUGGGAGGACUGAGUGACUGGGAGGACUGAGCGAAAUGAUACUCUGAGAGUAUGCAUAUGGUUUUAUUAUUGAGUUGCAUCGCAUUGACAUGCACACUUGACAUACAGUCAUAAAGAUAUAUUUUCCUCAUGCUAUAUGAUAUUGCGACAUUCAUGACUUCACAUGCACAUUGACAUGUAGGCAUAGAGAUAUACUUUUCCUCAUGCCAUUUGAUAAUGGGACGUUUACCUGUUGAACAGGUUUGGAAGGAAAAAUCACGAUUUUGCAAACUUACUCAUAUUUUGGUGUUUUCGGUAAAGGAUUUGGAUUUUCACUUUUAUACUUGAAAAGCAUGUCUAUUUUCUGGAACUGUGAACGAGCUGAACAUUUUAUUUCUAAGUUAUUUCCUCUACCACUUUUGUUAUAUUGCUAUGAGCUAUUGUUGGACUUGACCGUGUUCCAGCUCGUCACUACUUUCAACCUAAGGUUAUGUUUGUUACUUAUUGAGUACAUGGGGUCGGUUGUACCCAUACUACACUCCUGCACCUUGCAUGCAGAUUUUUGAUGUUGAUGUUGCUGCGUGCGGCGGGAGCUGGAUCUGAAGAAGUACCUAUGUUCCAGCCAUUUACUGCCUCUUGUUCUUGGUAGCUUUAGAAUUUUUAAUCUGUUUAUGUAUAUUUCAGACAGAUGACGUAUUUUUAUUUCACACGAGUUUUGUAAUUUCUAAUCUUAGAAGCUUAUGAUUUGUACUACCAAUCCUUGGGGAGUGUAUUAGAGUCAACUAAAUAUUAAUUGAAUUGGAUAGUUGUUAGUUAGCUUACCUGACGGGUUAGGUUAGGUACCAUCAUGACUAGGUGGAUUUUGGGUCGUGACAAGGUGGUAUCAGAGCCCUAGGUUCAUAGGUUCUACAAGUCAUGAGCUAGUGUUUAACAGAGUCUUGCGGAUCAGUAUGAUGAUGUCCAUACUUAUCUUCGAGAGGCUGCAUGGCAUUUAGGAUAAUUUUCCAUCUUUCUUUCCUUAUCGUGCGGAAUUGAUUAAGCUUGAAACAUAACUGUUUGAAUUCCUUCCACGCAUUCGUGUGGGCAUGUGAGUGCUCGGUAUCAACUGUGCAUCGCCGUCUUGUGAUUCCAUGAACGGGGUUCGAAAUGUGUAUUCUGUGUUUUGGUGAUGGGCUAGUCUGGAGGAUUUGAGGCCCGGUUUAGAACGCAGCUUAGGCUCGGUAGCUUCAGUUGUAACUUGUACAUUUGGACUCAUAUGUCCGGUAGUGUCCCUCUGAGUGGAACUUAUGGCUCGAUGAGCGAUCAAAUGGCUAUAUGAUAAGUAUGAUGUGAUUGCGAGAUGUGUUAAGAUGGUUUGGAUAUGACGAGAAGUGUUUUCUUGGAAUGUAAAGAGGGCCAUUGGGUGCUUGAUUUUCGUUUGAUGUGAUGUGCGGUCUCGAAUUGUGAGUAUGUUGAAGGAUCUAUCAUGCAGUUUAAUUGUGGAUCUAAUUAGAUUUUCAUGUUAUGUUGAUGAGUUCAGACUCAGAAAGAUUUAGUUAUUGCAUAGAAAUUGUGGCUGCGAAAGGGUAUAACAAGAUGCCAAUUUGAGGCUAAACAGGUGGGUUAUCUCCUGCGGAGUAAUCUACGUAAGUGUGUUCCUUAUAAUGUUGAGUGGAGAGUUUCUUAUCUACCAGCGGGGUGUAUGUGUUGAGAUUUGAAUUUGAAUCCGGUUGAGAAAGUUGACUUGACUGUCAAGAGAAUAAAUGUAAGUUUAGUGGAUGAUUAAGGUAUCUUAUGAUUGGUGUUGCAUGAGCUUAAGAAUAAUUUCCAUUGAAUUGACUGCGGUAUUAUGACAGUAAUAGAGUAUGGGUAUUGUGAGUUAUGGAAUGUUUUGUUUUAUGGCUUUGUGACGAGCGCAAAACACACACUUAAAUUGUGCUCUCUAGUCAAAGAUAGUAUAGAAAAAUUAUCGUAUCCACAGGGAUUGAAUUAAAAUAAUAUUAUCGUAGUUUGUAGCUAGAUUGCUAUUCAGGAGGAUCAACAGUUGAGGUUUAUAUAAUAAAUAAUCUAAAAUCUACAGCUAUUGACUAAUGACAAUCGCAACAAAGGUAAACAAGAGAGUUAUUAAUGGGAGAAAAUAUGGGUUGAUAAGAUAGGUGCAAGAUAAUUGUUCAGGAUCUAACUCUAGAUAAUUGACUUCUAAUGUUCAAGUGAGUUUCUCGAAUUCAAUUAAUUAUCAGUAUAAUUGUUUAGUAGAAACUNNNNNNNNNNNNNNNNNNNNNNNNNAAAUGGAUUGGUCUUUAGGAGAACCUCUUUCGAUUAUCCUCCUAACUAGGUUUAAUCAAGAAUUCAACUAGCCUCUUUCGAUUACUUCGAAGAAUCUAUGAACUCAACCAAAAAUAUAGUGCAAAUAUAUCACAAGUUAUGCCUAUCUCGAUUACAAGAACAAGUGAACAUAGAUGCAAAAAUUUAAUCUUCCCAAAACAAUUUAAAUACAUGAAAAUAGAGUUAUAAUCUACAAACAACCAUCAAUACACCAAAUCCAUCAAAACCCAAAUGGUUCUACUCCAUAGACUUGGAGAAGUUCUUCACAAAUGAAAUAAAAGUAUAGGAAAACAUAAAUGCAAUCCAAACUCGGAUCUUGAGUGAGGAAGGAAGGAUGAAAUCCUUGUGCUCUUGAUUCUCCCUCUUCUCCUUAGUUUCCUUAGGUCUAAGGUAUGUCAAAAGUCGAGAAAUGGUGUCUUUCCCGUGUAUUUAACUAUCCCCUAAAUAAACCCCGGACGAAAAUACCCCUUUUUAGCGGAAUUGGGAACAUACUCUAACAUUUUUUCACUACCGCAUCGCAUGUCGCGCCGCCCCAUGCGGCGAGCUUGUGGAUAAUUCCAGAACAAUUUGGAAAACACAUUUUGGGCACAUUUUGCACAGUCGCGCCGCCCCAUGCGGUGCGGCUGUGUAGUUUUCUCAGAGUAAGUUCGUUUCUCUAAUUUUUGACAUCCGGACUUCGUACUCGACCCCCAAACGCGAUCCCGGUUUAAUCCCUUUGGCUUAUACUCAGACUUCAAAGCUCCAAAUAGUUCGAAUUUACUCCGCAACAUCUAAAUAACCCGGAAUCAUUCCUACACGGCAUAAAACACAUAAUAAGUAUAAAACACUACUAAUUAAAGCUCAGCAUAAGUAAAGUGCAGUGAAUUUGAGUGCAAUAAUCGACUAAAACAUGAGUUUCUGGCCUACCAUCAACACCCCACACUUAAACCAUUACUUGUCCUCGAGCAAUCAAACUACACUUCACAUAGACAUGACCUUUUUUAAACAACUCUCCUGACUCAUCAUACCAAGAAUAAUAGAACAGAUUAAGCACAAUAACGUAACAUCCUCGCCUCAAGAUUUAACUCAAAAGCACCACGCAUGUUUUCACAACUCGCUCACUUACUCUAACACAAAGGUCAAUGACAAUACCUUUCUUUCAUGAAUCAAGUGCCCUUACCCAACAAUAGAAAGUAGUUCCACACACAAUAAAAGUUAUGAAUAAUUAGGAACUCAAGAUAGAAAGAAUUCACUCACUCUCAGAAACAACAUUCAUAUGCCACAAAAGAUGCACCAUAGGCUUGCCCAUAAUGUACUACUCUACUAAUUGAGCUCAUUCAGUCAAUGAUCAAGUAUGACUUUAUAUGGUUGUAAUGUAAGCUGCGGGAUGAGUAUGAUAUAUUUGAUAUAAACGUGACUACACCUCCCUAAGAACUUUAAUACAUACAAUUUAACCAUUUAAAACUCCAUACUUAUGUCAAACCAUAACUCUACCUUCACGUCAAUAAAUGUCAACUCCCUACUUCUUUACGCACAAUUACAUCAAGAAAUACCACUAUCAAGGAAUCUUUUUUCGCAACCAUCCAACUAUUUUUUCAUUUUCUUUUUCAAUUCAAGUGGCUCUUAUUUUAUAUUUUUUCAAAACAGUGCACCUUUCUCCUUAUUUCAAGAGUUCCACUCAAAAGACAAACCCACACCCCACACUUUAACUUUUACAAAGAUCAUAAUAAUUUCAAGUGCUCGUGAGAGGUAAGAAGGUUCAAAUAGAUGGUCAAUUCAAACAAUUGGAUAAGGCUUGUAAUGUAGUUUUCAAAGGAAUAGGAUUACGGUCUCAAAGGAGUCAACUAGGAUACAUAACAAUUAGGUGGAUAACAACAUAUAACUGACUCUACAAAGAAACGCCUACAUCACUUCCAAGAGUGAAUAAAAUUACUAUUUCGCUUUGCAAACACAUGUGGCAAGUUCUAGACAUCAAAUGUAAUGCACAGAAUACACGAAACCUCUCACACACAUGGCAAAUAACUCAUUCAGGAUCGGACUCAUCGAGACACNNNNNNNNNNNNNNNNNNNNNNNNNNNNNNNNNNNNNNNNNNNNNNNNNNNNNNNNNNNNNNNNNNNNNNNNNNNNNNNNNNNNNNNNNNNNNNNNNNNNNNNNNNNNNNNNNNNNNNNNNNNNNNNNNNNNNNNNNNNNNNNNNNNNNNNNNNNNNNNNNNNNNNNNNNNNNNNNNNNNNNNNNNNNNNNNNNNNNNNNNNNNNNNNNNNNNNNNNNNNNNNNNNNNNNNNNNNNNNNNNNNNNNNNNNNNNNNNNNNNNNNNNNNNNNNUAAGCGUCACAACUAAAGCACUUACUAUUCUCAAGGCAUAAUAAAGUUAAGAGAUAUUGCUUUCAUUUAAAAUCACAACACAAGAUCUCCUACUCCUAAAAGAAAAACUAACUAUACCUGGUUCAAGCAAAACCCUUGGAAAAGAACCAUGGCACAAAGAAAACCAAGGGGGGAUUAUUAUACUACCUAAAGAAAAUAAUAUUUUUUUCGACUUUAAAAAUUUCAAUCAAAAGAAACGAAAAUAUACACAAGAAACGGAAACAAACAGUUAUUUACAUAUUUACAUCCCCUCCCCACACUUUAAAUUGUGGCAUGUCCCCAUGUUACACAAAUAAAAAGCAAAAGGUAAAGAAAACCCCCUGGACUUUUUCCGUUGCCGAGAACUUGUGAACUCCACCCCUAAUUCUGAAUUCAUUUUUCGUUUUCGCUCCUUGGGAUUCUGUAUGGAGCUCAUUAGGCCAAAGUCCUUUAAGGAUAUUUGAAAGAACCGCUCUUUUCUUUCUUUCUUGGGCUCAUUUUGAGUGGUGGAUUGUUCUUGUAGGAUCAUCCUCAACUUGUUUCUACAUUCAUUUACAAGAUCAAUCCAUGCAUAUUCAUGUAAAUCCCCAAAAUUAAAAUCCACAUGAUCAAGGUUAGAAUAAGAAAAUGAAGAAGAAGGGUCAUAUGAGUACUCCUCUGGUAAGUCCAAGACCAUUUGUUCCUCAUUCUCUUCCACUAAAAAUUAUAAUUGUGGAUAGGUGGAUGAGGGUUUGAACUCUUCUUGUAUUGCUUCAUAAUCAACCAAAGCAUCAUUUUCAAUCAUUUCAGUUGAAACAGAGUCCUCUUGCAAAGUAGAAAACUCUCUCGGUAGAUGUUCAUUAUCUCGGGUAGGCUCAUUUUCACACGGUAUAUCUUCCAUAUAUUCACCAUCACAAUGCAACGAGCUAAGUCUAUUUACUAAUUGAUUCACUUGCAUUGUUAGGUUGUUAGUGGCUUCAUCAUCUUGUAUAAAUUUUUCUUCUACCUUAUUUAUAAACUUAUACAUAAUCUCUUCUAAACUACUAUUCUCCUCUUGAGGUGAUUGUCUCACUUCGCUUUCAUUCGAGUCAUAAUAAGGGUAUUCAUCCCAACCAGAGUCAUAAUUGUACCCAUAUGAAUCCUCAUACCUGUACGGACUAGAGACAAAGUGAGAGUGUUCAAAAGAUGAACCAUAGGAAGAAUACCUACUUGCUUGACAAUCAACCCAUAGAUGAUUUCCACCGCAUUUAAAACACGUAGCACACCACUGAUAAUAUUCAGCUGCAAACUCUCUAACCAUUUUCUUAGGCUGGUUGUACUCCAUCUUCACAUCAUUUAGAGUUCAAUAACAAGAAUAUGCUCUUCGAGAUUUCUUCAACCAAAAAAAAAAUCUUGAAUAGAAGUUAACCAAACAAACUACAAAUAAAAGAAAAAUUAAAAGCUAAUUCCUGGAUUAGCACUACAAACUACUUCAAACACUAUUGAUAUCCAAUUCCCGGCAAUGACUCCAAAAUUUGACGAGCGCAAAAUACAUACUUAAAUUGUACUCGCUAGUCAAAGAUAGUAUAGUAAAAUUAUCGUAUCCACAGGAAUUGGAUUUAAAUAAUAUUAUCAUAGUUUGUAGCUAGAUUGCUAUUCAUAAGGAUCAACAGUUGAGGUUUAUAUAAUAAAUAAUCUAAAAUAUAUAGCUAUUGACUAAUGACAAUCGCAACAAAGGUAAGUAAGGGAGUUAUCAGUGGGAGAAAAUAUGGGUUGAUAAGAUAGGUGCAAGACAAUUGUUCGGGAUCUAACUUUAGAUAAUUGACUUCUAAUGUUCAAGUGAGUCUCUCGAAUUCAAUUAAUUAUCAGUACAAUUAUUUAGUAGAAACUCCUCUCUCGAUUAAGUCUCAACCUCACAAUAUGAACCAAUUUAAGCUCGGUGAAGAUAUGCAAGAAUUCGAAAUGGAUUGGUCUUUAGGAGAACCUUUUUCGAUUAUCCUCUUAACUAGGUUUUCAACUAGGCUCUUUUGAUUACUUCGAAGAAUCUAUGAACACAACCAAUAAUAUAGUACAAAUAUAUCACAAGUUAUGCCUAUCUCGAUUAAAAGAACAAGUGAACAUAGAUGCAACAAUUUAAUCUUCCCAAAACGAUUCAAAUACAUAAAAUUAGAGUUAUAAUCUACAAACAACCAUUAAUACACUAAAUCCAUCAAAACCUAAAUGGUUCUACUCCAUAGACAUGGAGAAGUUUUUCACAAAUGAAAUAAAAGUAUAGAAAAACAUAAAUACAAUCCAAACCUGGAUCUUGAGUGAGGAAGGAAGGAUGAAAUCCUUGUGCUCUUGCUUGUCCCUCUUCUCCUUAGCUUCCUUUGGUCUAAUGUAUGUCAAAAGUCCAGAAAUGGUGUCUUUCCCGUGUAUUUAACUAUCCCCCAAAAAACCCCGGACGAAAAUACCCUUUUUAGCGGAAUUGGGAACAGACUCUAACAUUUUUGCACUAUCGCGCCGCAUGCCACGCCGCCCCAUGGGGCGCGCUUAUGGAUAAUUCUGGGCACAUUACAUUCUGGGCACAUUUUGCACAGCAACGCCACCCCAUGCGGCGCGACUGUGUAGUUUUCUCAAAGUAAGUUCGUUUCUCCAAUUUUUGACAUCCGGACCUGGUACUCGACCCCCGAACGUGAUCCUGAUUUAAUCCCUUGGGCUUCUACUCAGACUUCAAAGUUCCAAAUAGCUCGAAUUUUCUCUGUAACAUCUAAAUAACCCGGAAUCAUUCUUACACGGCAUAAAAUAUCCAAUAAGUGUAAAACACUACUAAUUAAAGCUCAGCAUAAGUAAAGUGUAGUGAAUUAGAGUGCAAUAACCGACUAAAACACGGGUUUCUAGCCUACCAUCACUUUGAGCCAAGUGGGGGAGCCUGCUGCUGAUGGUUUAAUUUGAUGUUUAUAUGUUAAAUUUUAGUUUUGGUCUGAGGCAUAUUUGUGUGUUAGUUAUGACUUGUAGAGGUUGAGAUCGAGGAUGACUCGAGUAAGGAAAUUCCUGAAUACGGGUAGCAUUACUCUUUUUGAAAAUAUGAAAAUCAUGGAAUGAUUAAGUUGUUAUUUGAAGGAUGUAGUGCGCAUAUAUUAUGAAUUUGAUUGGUGGUUCUAAGGCAAGAUUACUACUUUAGGUGUUGUUAUGCUAAUAGGGCAUGUGUCUUUCGACCCGUUUGGGCCGUACAAUUUAGAUUUGAGCAAAGUGGGUGGCUCUCGAGAAGGUGCUAAUGGAUUCAAAAAUGUAUAAGUGGCAAUUGAAAUUUUUUCGGAUUCGUAUAUCGCUAGAAUCACUUAUUUACACUGGAUGGUGCUAGGACUUGCGGUAAUUCUGUAUGACUAUGAAUUCUACAUAUUAAUAUAAGAAAGUGAAGAGGAAAAUUUUUAAAUUCGCAUAAGGUCCUUCAGAGUGGAUGUCUCGGUUGUGGUAUUUAUGGGGUGCUUAAGAAGAAUACAACGGCUUAUGGGCCUUAAGGCGGUAUGGUUUUAUGUUAAGGGUGUCUUAUAGUAAGCUUUGGAUAAGGAUCGUAGUGUUCUGACAAGGAGAAGUGUCAACUUGAGGGUAAUUUAGAAGAAACUCGGAGAAAAUAGGACAACUGGGUAGUAGGCUAGACCAGUAUGGUAAUGGUAUGCUCGGUUCUUUUGGGUGAUUAUGAUGUGGUGAGGCUCUACAGAUAUUUUGGUGGCAAUACUCUCAGAUUUGGAAACCUGUGUGGCUUGGUCGAGUUAGAGGAAUUCAGUUCUGAUAGCUUGGUUAUGUGCAAAUGGGUUUUGAAGAGUUCUCGAUGGUUUCUAUCACGGUUUAAGAUGGAUAUGUCCUACCGGCGAGAGGAACAUGUUAUGUAUUGUGAUUUCCUCCUGUAUGGGAGCAAAUGUAAGGUUUCUAACUAACCGGGUAUGUAUAUUUGCUCAUGACUCAGAGUGUUAAUGAGGAUUUCGUGUUUUCACAGGAUGGCCUAAUAAAGGCGGUGAGUGGAGGGAGAUUGGGAUUUGCAUGUGCAAGUAUAUGAUUCAGUUUCAAGGGGAGGUAAUGAGUUUAUGGAGAACAAACAAUUUCAAAUAUUGGCACUAGUGGUAUUACCCGAGCAGAGUGUACAUUCAAAAAAGGGCACACUGUGUUUUGGACCUACGGAUAUUUCGUUGGUAUCGCGGUAUUCGCCCGAUUGAUAGACUGCAGAUAUUCAAAUUAUUUGCUAUGUGGCAUGAAAUAAUUAUAGAAGUAUUCCUCGUGGGAUGAUUGUGUAUGAGAGAUGUGUUAGACGUUCGGGCGGUGGAGUUGGGAGCAGAUAUGGUGAUUUGUGUGUUCUAUAAAUUUGGGAGACUGGGAGUUCUCAGAAGUAGAUUGUAUCGUGACUGUGAACUAUGAAAAUGUGGCCAAAGCUAGCAAGAUGAUAGUAUAUGUUAUGGGUAGGUCAUUGUGGACUUUCAGAGGAGUAUGUAUCUAUUUGUGGGUGGCCAUAGUUGAUUUGGGGUCCAUUGGUAGGUCCAAUGAGGAUGUGUAUUCUACAUCGGGUUGGAUUGGUCAACUCCAUACUACUAUUGUUGGGGGAUAUGCCAUUCGGUUAGAGCGAAUCUUAUUCGUGCUCUGAUAUGAUCUAUGUGUUACUUCUCUACACUACGAGGGGUUGUGAUUUGUUGGUUAUAAGCACACAUAGUGCGGUUCUGUUCGGGCCUUAUAGAGGAAUUUAAGCGAGAUGGAUAUCUGGGUGAUGAAUGAUUGAUUGUGCACUUGGUUAUGUUCUCUCCGGACUGUGGUAUAUUGUGCUAUCUACUUAUCCGUGGUAAUAGUUAUGCACCUUGGAAACUUGAUGUCAAAUUGCGCACGGUUGUUGGCCUUGAGCAUGGUAGCUAGGGGUAUUUCAUAUGGACCAGUGUUUGGAUUUGGAUGGGGUCACGCAUUGCAACAGGGUUACGUCGGGAUAUAAUCCAUUUUUUAGAUUCGUGUGUUUUGGUUCUACUAUGUAUGAUGAGCUCAUAGCAUUACGAUUGUAGUGGUGCUUGUGGAACUUGCGAAAUGGUUCUCUUCUUCAAGACAUUUCCUAUUUUUGGACGCACGGAUUGUGCAGUUUGUGGCUUGAGUUAUAUUGGUGUGGCAUGUCUGUGGAAUAGUCAUAUUUGAUAAUAUAAGGUCAUUGUACCUAUGAUGGGUACUAUCAAAUUUGAUUACGGUAUAUUUGGGAGAAUAAUAUUGAAAGUCGGCUUAUAAAGUAAUUAUGGUUCUGGUUAGGGCGAGAGAGCUCCAUGACUUGUUGAUAUGAUAAGUGGUUAUGAGAUUCCGCGUGUUUUCUUUCAUUAUCGGCAAUGUACGAAGGUUUUGGAAUGAGGCUUUGUUAAUAUGGGGUUUAAUACUAGUACCAGGUUGGUUUUGAGUAGUUACUGUGGUCGGAAAUGGUGCUGCGAGUAUGCGAGUCGUGUAGUAUGUUAUGUGAUUAUAUAUGGGGUUAUGGCUAUGCCUUGAUACAGUUUGUUCAGACUUAUACAGUGUGUAGAUGUGAGAUUCCGGUCUUGAGAAAAAAUUUUGAAUGUUGGAAAUUGAAUUUCCAAGGUUAUGGGCUAAGUUUGAAUUAAUAAUUUUCAGUUAUGCUAUGUUGUCAGGCCUGCAUAGAAUAAGGUGACGUGAGAUCACCCCCGGGUAUGUGUAUGGUAUGGUGGAACAGUGAUUUAAAGGCUUAGGAACAACUCUUGACACGUUCGAAGACGAACAUAUAUUUAAGUAGGGGAGAAUGUAACGACCCAGCAGGUCAUUUUGAGUAUUACAGUCCCGUUUCCCCGCUUACUGCUUAUCCCGCAUUCUAUUAUAAUUAUGUGAAUCGUCGGUGAGGUUACAAAAUGAAUUAGAACACUUAGUUCCGAGAUUUAAAGCUUAAGUUGAAAUAGUUGACCAGAUGUUAACUUAUGCGUAAACGACCCUGGAAUAGAGUUUUGAUGAUUCCAAUAGCUCCGUAUGGUGAUUUUGGACUUAGAAGCGUAUCCGAAAAAUUAUUUGGGCGUCCUUAGUUAAAUUAGGCAUGGAUUGGCUAAAGUGGAAAUUUAAGUUUGGAAGUUUGACCGGGGAGUUGAAUUUUUGAUAUCGGGGUCGGAAUCCGAUUCUAGAAAUUGGAAUACGACCGUUAUGUUAUUUAUGACUUGUGUGCAAAAUUUGAGGUCAAUCGGACUUGAUUUCAUAGGUUCCGACAUCGAAUGUAGAAGUUAAAAAUUCUUAGUUUCAUUAAGCUUGAAUUGGGGUAUAAUUCGUGAUUUUAGCGUUGUUUGAUGUGAUUUAGAGGUUCGACCAAGUUCGUAUGAUAUUUUAGGACUUGUUGGUGUAUUUGGUUGAGGUCCCGUGGGCCUUGGGUGAGUUUCAGAUGUUUAACGGAUCAAAUUUGGACUUAGAAUAAUUAAAACUUGUUGUUGCCUACUAAUGCAAUCUCACCUGAGGAAAUGGGCUCGCAUGUGCAAGUUCGCAGAAGCGAGCCUGGGAGUGCAGAAGCGGUAAAGGGAGAGUGGGCAAUGGCCGAAGGUGCGAGGGAAAAUUCCACACGUGCGUGAUCGCAGAUGCGGACGGAUGGGCGCAGAAGCGCAAGCUCCGCAGAAGCGGAUUGAGCCUCGCAAAUGCGAGCCCGCAGAAGCAGCUUUUGGGGUGCAGAAGUGGAGGCACUGAAGGCCUUAGCAAACCGCAGAAGCGGUUGGUUUCUGGCACCUGCGAGGCCGCAGAAGGAGCUAAGUGAGUCACAGGUGCGGAACCCCUGGGCAGUAUACAUUUCGAAGGGGUUCUGAAUUUUUACCAUUUUUGGACAUUUCCAACACGGUUUUGGGGCUAUUUUNNNNNNNNNNNNNNNNNNNNNNNNNNNNNNNNNNNNNNNNNNNNNNNNNNNNNNNNNNNNNNNNNNNNNNNNNNAAUUAUAGGAUUUGGGCCUAGGGAUUUGAAAAUGAUAUUUAGGGAUUUGAAGGUCGAGUUGUUGUCGGAAUUUGAUAAAUUUGUAUGGUUGGACUCGUGGUUGAAUGAGCAUUCAUAUUUUAUAACUUUUGUUGGGUUCCGAGACGCGGGCCCCACGGAUAAUUUUUGAGUACAAUUUUGAAUUUUGUUGGAAAAUUAAUAUUUUUAUAUGGAAUUAAUUCCUAUAAUUUGUGUUGACUGAAUCGAAUUAAUUGUGACUAGAUUCGAGUCGUUCGGAAGUUGAUACGCGCAUAAUGAAAUUUCUGGAGCAUUGUUAGCUUGCUCGAUAUUGGACUCGGCUUGUUCAAGAUAAGUAACUCUUCUAAUCUUGGAGCUGAGGGCAUGAACCCUGAUUAUACGUGUUAUGUAUUUGGUGUUGAGGUGACACACAUGUUAGGUGACGGGCGUGUGGGCAUGCACCGUGUUAACUGUGACUCCAUUAUUUCUUGGUACUGUGUAGUUACCUGAACUUAUCUGUAAUCAUGAAAUCUCUACGUACUAGAAUUAUCGAGCUGUAAUUCAUGUUAGAAACCAUAUCCAGACUAUAUACUUAUCUUGUUGGGACCUAUUGUGGUCAUUACUACUGUUGAGUUAUUUGCUUACAUUGCAAUUUCAUAUCUCAGUCUCUGUUGUUAUUUAUUGAUACAUCAUAUCAUUAUUUUUGGGCUAGUUUCAUGACAAUUGUGUGCCCAAGAGACUGGAGAGAUUGAUGACUGAGUGAGACCGAGGGCCUGAUUUUAAGUUAUUGAUACUAUAACACGUGAGUUGUCCGUGCGGAUUUAGAUAUUGAUACUAUAGUACGUGAGUUGUCCGUGCAACACGUGAUUUGUCAGUGUGGAUCCAGAUAUUGAUACUAUAGCACGUGAGUUGUCUGUGCGGAUUAUAGCACUUGGGCUGAAGGAGCCCCUCCGGAGUCUGCACACACCCCUAGUGAGCGCAGGUACCUACUGAGUGCGAGUGCCGAGCGAUUGGGAGGACUGAGCGAAAUGAUACUCUGAGAGUAUACAUAUGGUUUUAUUACUGAGUUGUAUCGCAUUGACAUGCACACUUGACAUACAGUCAUAGAGAUGUAUUUUUCUCAUGCUAUACGAUAUUGCGUCAUUCAUGACUUCACAUGUACAUUUACUUGUAGGCAUAUAGAUGUACUUUUCCUCAUGCCAUUUGAUAAUAGGACGUUUACCUGUUGAACAAUUUUGGAAGGACAAAUCACAAUUUUGCAAACUUACUCAUAUUUUGGUGUUUUCGGUAAAAGAUUUGGGUUUUCACUUUUAUACUUGAAAAACAUGUCUAUUUUCUGGAACUGUGAACGAGCUGAACAUUUUAUUUAUGAGUUAUUUCAUGUACCACUUUUGUUAUAUUGUUAUGAGCUGUUGUUGGACUUGACCGUGUUCCAGCUCGUCACUACUUUCAACUAAGGUUAGGUUUGUUACUUAUUAAGUACAUGGGGUCGGUUGUAAUUAUACUACACUUUUGCACCUCACAUGCAGAUUUUUGAUGUUGAUGUUCUGCGUACGACGGGAGAUGGAUGUGAAAAUGUACAUGCGUUCCAGCCAUUUGCUGCCUCUUGUUCAUGGUAGCUUUAGAAUUUUUAAUCUGUUCAUGUAUAUUUCAGACAUAUGAUGUAUUUUUAUGUCACACCAGUUUUAUAAUUUUUAGUCUUAGAAGCUCAUGAUUUGUACUACCAGUCCUUGGGGAGUGUAUUAAAGUCAGUUAAAUAUUAAUCGAAUUGGAUAGUUAUUAAUUGGCUUACCUGACAAGUUGGGUUAUGUGCCAUCACGACUAGGUAGAUUUUGGGUCAUGACAAAAAUAUUCCCAAAUGUAUUCUUACUCCAGUUGAUAACAUUAUGUUUGAAAAAUUGAGUGGCUUCUGCGAAUUCCUUACCCUGCCAACUAUUAUAAACAAUUGAGGUAAAAUCAGGAUGAGUGCACCAAUAGGAUUCUAAAUGGAAUGAUCUAUCUAUAGGUCUGGUAUGUGGUUGGGUGAGAUUAACAAGGAGUGGGUUAUGGUCAGAGUGUGUUUUUGGGAGGUGCAAGACUGAUGCCUGGGGGUACUGUUGUAGCCAUGCAUCAUUGGCCAAACAACGAUCAAGCCUUUCUAAUAUUAAACCAUGACUUCUCCUUCUAUGAUUUGACCAAGUGUAACGACUGCCUUUAAAUCCUAGGUCAAUGAGAUAUAGUAAUUAAUAGAGGCCCAAAUCUUAGAUGAUCUAGAUCUAUUUAACGGUCUACCCCCCCAUCUCUUCUUGACUCAUAAUGUCGUUGAAGUCGCCUCUCAUAAACCAGGGGCCCCUAUAAUUAUCGUAAAUAGUUCUAAUGUGAUCCCAUAGUAGACUACGAUUUACCACUAACGUACUAGCGUAAACAGUACUAAGUAACCAAGGUUGGUAGUUGGACUUUACCUGGAUCAUGGCUUCAAUGUCUUGAGGGGACUGAGAUAUACGGGUGACAGCCACAACAUUAUCUUGCCAAAGGAUAACUAGACCUCCCGACCUACCUUGGGCAGGGACUUCGAUCACGUCAGACAAGUUGAAGUCGUCUCUUAGAGUAGUAUGACUUUCCAUCCUAGUUUCUAGAAGAGCGACCAUGCAGGGAUUAUACGUGUUAAUUAAUUCCCUGAAGUUGUGCCUAAAAUUGUCAUUAUUGACUCCCUUAAUGUUCCAGAUGACAAAGCUUGUGGGUCUAUUCAUGGUUUGGGGAUUUGUUUGAUGAGAUAAAUUAUUCUGGCUCUACAGUAGAGGGAAUUGGAAGCCUCUCAAGGAUGAACUCAUCACUACUGCAUAUUUUGCUAUCGCAGUGUUGAGAGGUAGACGAAUGUGGAGGGAGAACUUGUAGAGAGCUAUGGGGUAGCGGUGUAUGUAUUUUUUGUCCUCCAAUUCUGGGAAUAUCAUAAGGGCUGCUCUUCGCAGACUUGAGAUUUCUGUGAAGAGGUUAUGUGCGCUUCCAUUUCUCCUUGUGCUUGUGGAGGAGCAGGUUGUGGAUUGUCCAUCUGCAUGGGCAUCUGGGGUGUUUGUGGAGCUUGGGUUUGUUGAGGUUGCCAUGGAAAGAACAAGGGAUUUGUGUUGAUUGUCUCAUGUGGAGUGAAAAAGGGUAGGUUGAAGACUUGAUUCAUGUUUAGGAGAAGGUUGAAGUGAUGUGGUAGUGUCCAUUGGGCAUGCAUGUUGUAGAAGAGAGUUGGGGCUAUUGCCGGAGCUAAUGGGUCUAGAACAUUGGCCAUCCACAUGUGAUUCAUGUAGUUGUCCAUUGCUAGUAUUAUUCCCUCGGUUAUCAGUUGUGCAAGGAAGUUUUGGUUUUGGAUGAUAAAAAUUAUCUCCUGUCCAUUGAUGCUUAGAUUGAAGAACACUGCUUGUCCUUGCAUGCCCUGCCCGAUCCACGAUAGAGGUGGUUCAGAAGGUGGGAUUGUUUGGGUUGCAUACACUGGGAUGUUGGGUGCAAUUAGUGGGGGAAGUGGUGUCGGAAACAGUGGAGGUGGUGGUGCUCGGUUGUCCAUUGAGGGGUUUCGAGUUAACUGAUGAGUUAGAAGGACUAGUCAAUUUGAUCUCCUGUUUAGGGGAAUUAAUAAGCCCGUCAUUAUGAGGUGAAAGAAGGGCGUGGGGAUCAGGGUAUGAUAGGGAAUCAGUAGGGAUAGAUUUGGUUUGCAUGGGAGAAAUAAUAUGAGUAUAUGUAAGGUUAAAUUAUAGUGUAUCAACUUGCAUGUCUACUUGUCCAAUAGGAUUUGCCAAGUGUUGAAUGCAUGCAUUGGAUGGAAUGGAUAUAUUGGCGGCGCAGAUGGUUUUAGUGGUCUCUAAAGGAGGUUUAUUAGUAAUAACUGAGCUGUCAUUACUAGUAGUAGGGGAUAAUAUCAUUACAUCACUAUUAGGGCCUAUUGGUGGGGAAAUAUCAACCUUAGCCACGUUUUGGCCAUAUGACGGAACGUUAAGAGUUGGUUCUUUUGGAAUUAACAAAGGCGAGGGUGAGUGGGCGCGCGUGGAGGGAGCAACGAUUGGAGUUCCCUGGGAAUAAUUAGAAUAUUCUUCCUGCAUGGGAAGGGUCGAAAAUUUAUUAUGUGUUUGGAUUUUGAACUGUUGGUGAUAUAUGACAUGUGAACCUUUGUUAUUAAUGUGAUCACUAUUAUUGCUAAGACUCAGAGAUGAAGUAAUUGCUUUUGGUUUAAAAUUUAACUUUUGGGUAUUAAUGUACUUACCUGAUGUUGCCUCAUAAAUCAUAACAUUAAUACCUUCAUUAAUAGGUAUGGUAGAUUGAUCCUGGUUCACUCUUUGUUCCUGGUUAUACCUGCGCAAGAGACCCUUCUUUUUCCUUGAAAAGGACAUUGUAAGCCAUUCCUGUUUGGUGUCCCUAUUGUCUAGUAUUUUGGAUGGUGGGCAUGAUCCUCUUAUGUGGUCGGUGAGGAUUUGUUUUCCCUUCUCUAGUAGGUUUGGACAAUGUUGUCGAGUGUGACCAAUUUUGCCGCAUCCUUUAUAAAAUAGAUAUUCACUUUCAUACACUAUAGGCUGCUUGUGAGAACCGAUGUAUAUAUGCGAUUUAACUGGAUGUUCUAACGGGACUUCAACACAGAGCCUUGUGUAUCUACCUCUCAGAGUAGCACUAGUGCAAGCAUCAAUCUUUAGGAGUCUUCCAAUCAAAUUACCGAUCUUUUUAAGGAUCGUUCCAUCAUAGAAUUUUGUUGGUAAUUCUGGUACUCUUAGCCAGACGGCGGAUAAUGUUUGUUUAGCUUGGCUGGCAACGAAGUUGGUUUCCCAUUUUUGUACUAUUAAGUAGUAUCCAUUAAUGAAUCAGGGUCCUUGUUGCAACGCUUUGUGAGGAGCUUGUCUUUGAAGCUUGGUGAAGGAUUCAAGGAAGUUGAUGGACUAGAUAUAUCUAGUGGCUUCGGGGGAACGGGAAGGGUGCGCAUCUGUGAAGGAUUGUCAAGGAUUGGAUUGGUCAUUGAACAAGGCGUGAAGAAGGUGUUGAUGAGUUGAGAGAAGGGAGGGAGUUUCUCUCUUAAGACCUGUUACGUAAAAAUCAUUCAAUUUUAUGUUCAUUACCCAAAAAUUAUUUUUCUUUCUUUUAUUACACAAAAAUUAUUUUACUAUGCUCUAGUUAUCACAAUAGUCACUUUGACCAGAUUUUACAAACCUUUCACCUAAAAAGUCUAUUAUGCCCUUGACAUUAUAAAUCUUCCCAUUUAUGCAAUACCUUAUAUAUUAUAUGCUAUGUAAUGUACUUUUACCCAGAAAUUAUACAUAUAAGUAAAAUAACUUAAUAUUAUUUUAUUUAUUAUUUUUAUAAUAUAUUCAUACAUUUAAUUUUUUCUUAACAUUAAUUUUUAAAAUAUAUUAACAUUAUUAAAUUUGUCGGUAACAAUUGCCGUGAACAAAUCUCAAGUCCACGUUCUUAACCAUGCUUAAUAAAAUAUUUUUAAUAAAAAUUAUAAAAUCAAAGCUCACUGGUUUAUCAGCCAAACCAUACCCAUUAAUCCAAUAAAUAAAAUACUUACAUUUAGCACAAUGACACAUCGGAUUAAUACUUUUAAAUAAAUAAUAUUAACAGAUAAAGCUUUAAAAAACUUAAUAUUAAACAAAAAUAUCUUUGAAACUUUUUCUAAAAUUCUUAUUAACUAUAAAAAAAACUAUCAUUUGUUAAAAAAAAUCUAUUUUUAUUAUUUCAAAUAAAUAUUAAAAGAUAAAUAUUUUUAUUGUUUUUAUAUUUAAAAUAUGUUCAUGUUUGAAUAUGAUUAAACAAAUUGAGUGCCAUGAAAAAAUUAAAUCGAUGGAAAUAUUAUAAAAAUAAUAAAUAAAAUAAUAUAAAGUUAUUUUAAUUAUAAGUAAAAUACCUAGAUGAAAAUAUAUUAAAUAGUAUCUAAUAUGGAAAGUGUUACGUAAGUGAGAGGAUUUAUAAUGUCAAGGGCAUAAUAGACUUUUCAAAUAAAGUAUUAUCAAAUCUGGCUAAUGUAACUUUUGUGAUAAAUAGAGCAAAGUAAAAUGAUUUUUGUGCAACAAAAGAAAGAAAAUUGACUUUUGAGUAAUGAAUACAAAAUUGAAUGAUUUUUACGUAACAAAAAGAAGAAAAAAUGACUUUUGCGUAAUGUAUUCAAAGUUGAAUAACAAAAUUUCUCAGAAGUUCAAGUUGGUAACAUGUGUGCAAAUGUAAGAUGGGCCAUAUUCGGAGCAAAUGAACUCAGGUUAGGCAGCCCACGUCUCAAAUUUUUUUUUUUGCUAAUAGGGUCUUUUUCCCCCUUCAUUUGUAUGAUAUCUCGUUGAUAAUGUAUUCUCAAGGCACCUGCUUCAUUGAGAUUCAGUAACUAAUUGAAGAAAUUACACCAAUAGCCCUCCCCUGUCCCAGAGUUUUCAUUAAUUUUGUGAAUGCUUAUAUUGCUUGUAGUGAGAUAACUUGUGUCAUUGGUUGGUCUUGAUAUAUGCUUUAUAAUGGAGUACAUAAUAUUUUUUGUCAAUAUAUAAUCCUUCACCCCCAAUUAAUUCUUGGCUGUUACCUACUUUGUAUAUGCAACUCAAUUGGACUCAAUGUGGUACUGAAAGCCAAUAUUAAUGUGACAGGGCGUGGUAAACAGGGAGAGGGUAAGAAUCUUGAUAAUGCAAGAAAGAGAAGGAUUUUGCAGAUGCAGAUAUGAAUCUGUAACUCAGAUUUGUGUCUCCUUAAGCGGACAAAAGAAACAGAGAAACCAGUAGUGGAGAAAAAAAAAAGUACUGAGGUAGAGAGGACCGCGAGUAGGAUCUUGCGGCUUAUUACAUGCUAUAAGUAGAUAAGGGUUCAAAGCAAGAAGCAGAAGUGCAGAGGCCAACAGUUGCUCUAUGAUCUGGGCAUUCUUAUGGGAAAACCACUCACAGCCUUAACAACCCUCCUCUCUUCAACAUUAUUUAUGAAAGCCUGAAACGCGGUGUAAAUAAAUCACACACCAAUUUGUGUAACAAAUUGUUUGGUACGUGUCAUGACCUUAGAAUUGAACAUGUAAGUUUGUCCUAAAUAGAAGAGGGAAGGCUAAUAUAAGUGGUCCAUGCUAGAGAUGCCAGUGUGCUACCUUAAUAUCUACCUACUUUUUCCUAUUCAGUCCAAUGAGCGUUUACAACAGCCUUUUUCGAAAUAACACUAGUAAACUAUCACUAAUUCUCAUGACUUAAUUGUUUUCUUAAAAUGAGCCAUUAUGAACAUGGGGUUAAUUUAAUUCAAUAACGAUAUACGUGAGAUUUUUAAUCUAGUUCGUAUUAAUUAAAAAAUCAGCUUUUAAAGCUAUCAGAAAGAAUUAAAAAUUUCGGUUUGCUACCAUUUUAUAUACAAUACUUAGUUAAUUUCUUUUGCAUAUACUGCCUGCGUGGCAUAUUAUCAUUUAAGCAAACAAAUAAGAAAUUGCAAAAGAUUAUUCCUAGUAUGGACAUGUAAAAAAGCUUUGCGCCAUAUGAUAAAGAUUAAAUAAACUUCAUGUGCGCUUCGAGAUUAAAAAGUUUCUCACACGAUUUAAAAAUCCGCCUAUUAUUUCUUACUACAAUAAUACAGGAUCGGAGGCUAAUUAAGUGGAUAAUUCAUUAACUAGUAAUUAGCUUAUUUUAAAUGUUCUAAACCAAUUAUAUCAACAGUUUAGCACCCUUUGUAGCUGUAGCAUUCUAAAACCAUGGCCAGAGCCCCUUACAAUAUGGAGUACGACAGAGAAGCCGAAACUCAAACUGCGUGAGCUACCAAAAGCUAGUUAUAGGUUUGUGUGAACAAGAAGAUCAUGCUUGUAAUUACAGAUAGUGAAAUAGAUCUACAAGACUAGAAUACCAAAAUUUCUUACUCAUGGGCUUAGCACAGCGCCGACCUGGCCACGGCAACUGACAACUGGGGGAUGUUCUGAACAAAUAAAGCUCUCCACCUCACAGCCAAAGUAGAUGGGGGCAUAAGGUCUCUCAGCUUUCUAGAUUUGCAGUAAAAACAGAAGAAAACCUCAUCAUUUAACGGAAGAGAAUCUGAGUCGCGACCUAGCUAGCCACCUAAGGUGGGUUUUUUUUUGGGGGGGGGGGACCGCAGGUCUAAAGUCGAUAUGGUCCCCUCUAUCUACCUAGCGGAUUGUAUAUCUUAGUCGUACGAGGUGCAAAAUAUUCGAUUUCGAUGGCUUAGUAUAGGCGGCUGAUCCAGAUCCAGCAACAGCGACGUCGAGAAAAUGGAUCGGGUUUAAUUAAUUGGUACCGGAUCGGAGCAAUAUUGGGAUACCGGAUUCCUUUGCUAAUAUGGACUACUGUUUAAGAGCAGACAUGGUGGAUUUUGGAGCUCUCUGACCCAGAUUUCUCCCCCUGCAUGGAAAUUGAAUUCUGGGGAUUUGUGCAUAACCCCUGCCUACAAAAUAUACUCCACUCUCUCGUCUUUCCAUAUUUUUCCGUAUUUGCUUGUAGGUCUAAUAAGCUAGUAUUUAUUAUUUAUUAUAGCAGAACAGAGAUCUGAAUAUGAUUACCUUAAACUAAUUUGAGAUUGAAAUGUAUGGAUUGAUAUUUGACAAUUUAAUUGUAGAAGAGUCCUUCAACGUCUUUGAUGUGUGGUUAGAUAUUUUAGGAGUAUCUCUAGCAACUUAAGAAUGGGGGGCAUAUGCAUCUUAUGUCGAGAUGGAAUAUUUCAGGAUAUACUAAGGGGAUUAGCUAUCCCACAAUUUUAAUGAAAAAUUUACUCCGAAAUUAGUUAAUACCUAUUGUUUGAUCAAAAAGUAUAACUUUUGGUUGAAACUAUUAUUUGUAUGUAAUAAUGGAUUAAACCUAGUUAAUAAUAAUAUCUCCAUAUGCAAAUCCUCAGAGCGUGAAUAAGGUGGGACUGAUCCAAUAAGAGGUUGACAAUAACAAGCAUUAAAUAUUCAUAAAGUAUGAGCAAUAAUGGAAGAGUAACUUGUAAUAAAUAACAAUAGAAGACAUUUAAGUAAAUAUGGGGAGUGAUUCACCCAAUAAAGAAUAGAUUAGAUGAUUGUUCCCCUUGACAAUAAUGAGUGACUCUAAGACAGUUCGAAUUAUUCUCAGAUCUGAUGGAAAAAUGUGAAAUAAUAUUAACAAGGAUCUUAAUAAAAAAGUGACGUUUGUAUCUUUUCUAGAGAGAAAAUCUUUUUUCAGCCAAAAUAUUCUUAUCAGCUCCAUUUUACAUAACCCUUUGUCCUUAUCUUUUUCCUCAUUAUAUGUGAUACACCCCUGGUAAACCCUAAUAGUACAUGUACGGAGAAUAUUCUCCUGAAUUCCCUCUAUUGUCCUAUUCUAAAAACUAGCCGUUACGAGUUCUUCUGCAGACUUCGUCCUCGAUUGUUAUGAACAUCUCGACCACGAGUUUCGCCAUCUCCUGAUCGACCUCAACUGAUUUUUCCUCAAUGCCUUCUCGCCCUAAAUGUUCCGUAGUAAAUUUCGACUUAUACACCUAUAAUAAAUAUAAUCUCAAAUUCUAUCCCGAUAUUAUUAUCCUUAUCCCAUGUAUCAAACGGCCCUUAAAAAAAUUAGUACAGUACGUUGUUACUAAAAAGUUGUGUUAUAUUCUUCACUACGGAGGGUUAAUUAGCGUGAUAAGUUCAAAAAUUGAAAAGUAAAUAAUGCUCCAGUAAAUUGUAAGUACUUGAAGUUAGUUGAGAGUUGUGAAGGGUUUAUUUUCUUAAAGGUAGAUAGGGAUGCAGGACACAAGGACAGACAUUGUUUUUUUGUUUUAUUCCUUUACGGGCUAUACGAGUUACUGCAAAUAUUACAUGAACAGAGAGAAGUCGGCCUUUUUAGCGUUUCCAUUUACGAACAAAGAAUCAAUGACAAUCCCUAUAACAUAGCCUAAUCUUACUCACAGUACAUCAUUUGCCUUUGCUUUUUUGUCCUGCUCUUUUUAAUGUUCACCACCCACUUCAUUACGCACCUUUGAUUUUUUUUUUCCCACUCCUUUUUUAUUUCAUUCUUUUUUGUUUAUAUUGUGUUUAUUGUGCUGCAAAACAUUUUUCUGAAAACUAUUGUUCUUAAUGAAAUUACUUUUGAUUUUUUUAAAUAUUCAAUUACUAAAAAAGUUGAUAUCCAAUAAUUAGAAUAUGAUAGUUUCCUAUAAGGUAAUUGAAACAUAAAACAUACUCCAUUUUCCAUUAAAAAUGCUUUCGAUCCAUACCAAACACAUGAUUACUAUUUAUAUAUAUAAAUUGACGUGCAAGAAAAGAGGGUAGCUAGGAGUCAAUGCGUACACACACCCCUUGUUGGUUGAGGAUGUUAUUUUCUCAUCUUGAAAAAAAAUAUUGAAGCAAUGAUUUGCUGCUAAUAUAAGAAGAUCUUCUAGUUCUUUCUUCCUAGGAGAUACACUUUUCGGAUGAGUAUGCUAUUUUUUCAUAUUCAAAAAGAAUAUCACUGCAAUGAUUUCUUACUAAUAUAAGAUAGACUACUAAAACUAUAGCCUAUAGGCAAGGCAACAGCCUUUGAUACGAUAUUGCAAUAUUCUUGGUGUAGGGGGACCUCAAUCUCGCCCCGACUAUGAGUUAAACCAUUAGGUCUUUUUUUAAACUGUGUUUAUGCUGAUACUUGUUCUCUACUGACAAUACACAAUCAUCUCUUUCGGUUUUUUUAACAAAAGAAUUGGGGAAUAGAAGUCUUUGUUCGGAGUACAGUAAUAAAGGCUUUGAUUAACUUUAUCCUAAAGCAAACUUCUACUGUUGUUUUAAUUUCCUACGUAACAUUAACAACAUAUUUUAGAACUUAAGAUGACAGUGAGAGUUAAUAGCAAGAGCAAAUAGCAAGAAGUUGAAGAAUCAAAUCUCUUUAAUCUUUUAAGAUCAAGAAACAAUAAUAAUUCCUUUACUUAUUGAAUAAGGUAAAGAAGUCUUCUUAACAUCAAAGUUUAUCGACAAAAUUAGGGUAUAGUCGUCCUUGAAGUAUAUCCGUUAAUUCUCUUGAAUUAGGAGCACUUUUCUCUCAAAAUAGAAAAAAGUAGUGCCCUAUAAAAGUUGAAUUUCAGAGCACCUUCUGAUUUUAAUUUACCGAUUUUGCUUUAUAGGAUGUUUUUUUCUUCUUAGAAUUCAAGAAUUAAAACUUGAUUUUUUUAAAAAACAAUUGAUCUGUCGCCUGAAAAAUUACAAUAAUGAAAUUUGUACUAUAGAUAGUCAUUUUCCGGCAAAAUAAAUGUUUUUGUGAAUGUCACGUCUAACCCACAUAUUUUCUGGUUUAACCAUUCAUAAAUAUUUCAUGGAUAUUGAAAAAUGAAUAAUUACACUUGGCUAUUAAAACUGUAUAGAGAUGAUAAGCAAUUCUAAUUCUGAAAUGUCUUAAAAGAAACAAUCGAGAAGUGUUCGCUCAAAGAGGAAAUGUUUUCAGUAACUAGCGAUCAUAAAUAAAUAAAUAAAAAACUUAAAUCUACCAGAAAUAACUGUUAAGCUAUUGUACUGUCACUUUCCUGGUUCUGCUAAGAGUGAAAAAAGAAGUGGAAAUAUCACAUCUUAUGUAUGUAUAAAGACACAUAUUUCUAGCAGAUAAACACAUUAGACCAUGUUCCUCUCAUUUCUCAGCUGUAGUCUCUAGUUGGUUUUCUCUGCACAGAAACACCUUUUUUACUGCCCCCUACACCCCCAACCCCCCCCCCCCCAAAUUCUAGGCUUCAUCUUCUUAAAGUAGUACUACUGUUCCAUUGAAGAUGGCUACUUCUCUUCAGUUUACUUCAGAUCAUCAGUACCCAAUAAACCUUAGUAUUUCUCAACAAGAUCAUCAUCAAACAAAGCCUAGCGCUGAAACAAUGAACCAACAGACUGGACGUAGUAGAAGGUCCAAAGGAGGAGCAAACAAAUCCUUAACACAGAAGAAGAAACAGUCCCAAAGAGGCAUGGGUGUGGAAAAACUUGAACGGCUCAGAUUACAAGAGCUAAUUUCUUCAAAAACAAAUCCACUUCAGUUUCCCAAAUUGUAUGGUGGUGUCAACCAAGUCAUGGCCCCUGAUUUCUUGCUUCAUCAAAGGGUUGCAAAUAGUGGAUCUAGCACUUAUGGACCAGCUCAUGUUACAUUUGGAGAUCAGUUGAUUUCUGGGCAUGAUCAGUUUCAAACUCAAAUGGGUCUAAACGGAUUUGCAACUUCUAAACCCAACCAGCUUUUUCAUGCUGUUUCCCAUACUGAGAAAUCUAAAGAGCUUUCUUCACUGCCAAAUUUGAUGAGCAUCAAGUCAUCAUGUUUCUCCGAUCGCUGCAGUUCAUGCAACAAAGUAUAAUGCCCUUUGAUUUUUUUGUUCAUUUAAAGUUUGAUUUAGUUUAUUUAUGUUUUCUUUUCCUCCUUAAUCGUCAGAAGAAGCGCAUGAUUAAUGGAGAGGAUAUGGGACGUUCUAACACAGAGGCUGGCAUUGUUCAUAUGGAAAACGUGUUAGGAGAAAACCAAUAUUUUGGAACAAAGCCUUUGCUUCACCCAUUCUCAAUACCUAGUCAUCUUGAAAAGGUAAAGAAACAAAAAUGCUACCCUAAUAUUUUUCCCUCUUACUCAAAGAUAAAAUAAAAUGUAGCAGUUCUUCUUCAACGUUUUUAUUAUUCCUCCUCCAUUUUAAUGGAAAUUGUAUAUGUUUCCAGGAUGUGUUUUCUUUUGUUUUUAUAAUAAUUAAUUUGUAGGGGGUAGAGAUAGUGGCAAUCCACAGAAGGGGAAAUUCAACAUUAUCAUCAGAAGGAGGACUUGUAAUGGAGUAUGAAUUCUUUCCUACAGAGAAAAGUGGCAGAUCAAACACUACAAGUUAUGUGGAGAAUGAUAUGAUGAUGAAGAAAAUGAUGACUACUUCAUCAGAAUCUUCUUCAGUUGCAGCAGCAGUGGGUAAUGGUGAAGCUUCUUGUGUCACUACAAUAUCCUGGGUUGAUACUACUACUACAACUACACCCACCAGUUCUAUUGAUCUAUCACUCAAACUUUCUUUCUAGGUUUUUUUACAGAUUAUAUUAAAAAAAGAGUUGUUUAGUUUGUCUUUUUUCUAUAUGGUUUCUGAUUUUUGUCUUUUCACACUUGUGUGAAAUUUAUCUGAUCAAAGACCCAAACACUACUUUAUAUUUACCCUUUUGGUUUAUUUAGCUAGCUACCUGCUAUUACCUCUCCAAAAUGGAGCAAUACAUUUUCUGGGUUUUUUGUUAUCUCUCUUUCUCUAUACUCUUGGGAUUGUGUCAGUGAGAUGGAGAUGCUUCAGUAAAUUUCUCAGCUUUUCUGAUCGUAUUUAGUACUGUAAUAUUUUGCUUCCCAUUUGGAACUCAUGAUUUUUAUUGUUAUAAUAAUGCGUAUAUAGUUAGUAUCCAUACGACUGGCUUUAAACUUGCUCUUAUAUUUAGGUAAUUAGAAAUCUAUGAAAUUAUACUUGAAUCAGUCUCUUAUGGAGGAAAAAAUAUUUCAGAAAUGAGUUUCUUAUAUAUGAAUACAUAUCUGAUAUAUCAAGAAUAGACUUAAUUAAGAUUGCUAUAGAUCAAUUACCUUUGCAACUUCAGUUUUUACGUGGUAAACAUCAAAUGUUUUGACUGUUUUCAUAACUAUUAAAUUAUCUCAUUUCUUUGAUUCCUUUUAUUGUGAAACUAUUAGCUUUGUUAAUUAAAUCCUGUAACUAUACAUUUUAGCUCCAGGAAUCAAGGGUCUAUAUCCAAUAUGGAAACCCCUUCGGUUUUUUCUUCCUAUUUCCUUUUGUCCAACUUGAUCUGUUGCGCCUGUAAGCCUAAAGUUUCAAGGCAACAGCCUAGGCUAUUUUACAAAUUAAUAAAGGGAGUAGAAAUUAAACUUAACUGAGUGUUUUUCAGUGAAAGCUCCCAGUGCCAGCAUAAUCUACCAAAACCCUAGCAGCUUUUUUUGGGGGGGGGGGGGGGUUAAAUGAAGUCAGAGGCGUUCAUCUGAACCCAGUACUUUCGAUUCAGAAUAUAAAUUUAUGUAGUGUAGUGUGGUGAGGUUUUGCCUCACAGAAAGAGUGGGAAAUUGGGAGAAAAAAAUAAAGAAUUUCGAAUCUAAAAAUAAAAAGAGAUUUUUUUUCCAAACGACAAAGGAACUUACGGGCGGGGCAUUUUCGGGGACUAGCCCGCUUCCCAUUACUCAAUAGGGCAAUUCCUUGCAAAUAAUUAAGGGAGCCAUUGAAAGGUGACUAAAACACUAGAAACGGAAAAGUGUAAAAAUUCACUAAAAUUACAACACAUAUUGGGUCUGAACCCAUAACUUUAAAAAUAUAGUAAUAGUUUCAAUACUAAGAAGCGUAAUAGAAUUAAAAUUCUGGAUCCGCGGGUAGGUUAACUUUUCCCUAAGGAAAAUUUCCUUAAAAGGGGUGGCCACUAAACCACAAGGAAUACAUUUGAGAAGUAUCUGUUUGUGAGAGUCAAGCAAAUAUAAUUAACCAAACCAAAAGAAGAAGUGCUUUAUGGCAGUGUAAAAAGUGAGUAACAAAAAAGGAAGGCCAAAGAGCAAUAAUAGGUAGUCAGUAGACCGUAUACAUGUAAAUCCAUGAAAGUAGUGUGUAUCAGCUCUUCUUGUUGAAUCCACCAGCACUGCACUGCUGGCUCAUCUACUGUAAUCUGUAGCUGCUGCUUUUUUUGGCUGGUUAUUUUCCUGCAACUCACAGCUCUUGCCCCAGCGCCCAGUAGUAGUACCCUAGUGUAAUGGGUGUUAAUAUGGAGCAGUGACACUCUCAGUAAAACUUAAGAGCUGCUAAAGCAUUUUCAGUAUGUUAUUUUUGUAUGAUCAGUUUAACUUUUAUAUAGUAUUUGAUGUUGAAAAAUUAUGUAACACCCAAAAAAUAAUUAACACAUAACUACAUUCAACGGUCUAUUAUAAGUAAAACUAGAUAGUGUCCUAAAAAAUAGUUUGAAUUAUGAGUUACAACCGGUAAUUAAAAUACGUGAAUAAUGUGAGUUUUCUUUAUAUUAGGUAUACAAGUUAACUCAUAUUUUAUUGGAUGCUCAUAAAAUUUUAUGUGUAAUUAAUCCGUGAUUGGGCUGUAUUUAACCACAGAAGUUUCUUGAGCUGAUGACCUUUCGAAAACAGUCACUCUACAUCCACAAAGGUAGGGGGUUAGAUCUGCAUACACUUUUACCCUCUCCAAAUCACGCAAUAUGAAAAUACAUUGGGUAUGUCGUUGUUGUUGUUGUUGUUGUUUACGAACCUCGUCGUAUCAAAACAUGAGUAAAGUACUACUGUUAUAUUUUUCAAAUGACUUUAUAUGUACUUCAAUUACCCGUUUGAACUAAUAUUCAUCAUAUUUUUUCCGUUAGUCUAAUUUCACAAAAAUUGCAUUUUCCUUAACAUUUAAGGUCUUUCUGUCUAAACAUAGUACACCUUAAUUAACUUCAUUCCUUCCUUUCGUGCAUUGACCAAAUUCAUUGUGCUUUGGUUGCAAUAGAAUGGUUUACUUCAAAAGGCAACAGUGAGAAAAGAAAAAAAGAAAGAAACGAAGCCAUGAUAAGCAUAAUAUUCUGGAAAUGCUUUAUAAGCAAGUGAAUAGGAUUUUAGUGAUUGAAUUAUGCAACUGUAUUUCAUUCAUUUUAACUUAAUUAGCAGAUUUACGCGAUUGUUAAAGAAAAUAUACAUAUGAGUUAUUUACAGUAUUUGUUUGAGAAACAAGUGGGUAUAUAUUUUGAUUUUUCUGUCUCAGAAAGUUAGCGUAUAGGAUUUUAAAUUGUACUCUAGAAGAGUAAAACUGGAUAACUAACAACCCAAAGUAUUCAUGCCAAACAUUUCUAGAGGGGGCCAGGGAAUGUAUAUGCUAUCGAAUAAAAGUAUCAGACUUCUUUUAGGAUUUUCUCUAUUUUCUCCAGGUUCUACAAAAAUUUGUGAAUUAUUGUACUGUACCACGAUAUUUUGGAUUUAGCCUACAAAACCCAAAUAAUCAUUCAAACAAUAUCUAGAACAAUAAUGUAAAGAAAAAUAUUGAUUCUAGAAAGCAUUAUUGACUUGUUGUUUCUAUUUGACCAUCUCAAACACUUAGAACCUAAGGUUCAUCAUUAGUUUGACUAUGCAUAGAAUUAUAACCUCCAUCCAAAUCUUUUAUGCUGGGUAUUCAUGGUUCGGUUUGGAUCAGUUUUUCCCUAAAAAGAAAUCAAAUCAAGUAAAUCGGUUUUUCAAAUAUUGGGACCAAACCAAACCAAUUAAGUCGGAUUUUUAUGGAUUCUAUUUUUUAUGAUUUUUGUCGGUUUUUUGGUUUUUUUGGUUAUUUAUCGGAUUUUUUUUGAAUAUGAAACAUACACUAUCAUACACAUAUUUCGCCGACUACAUUUUCAACGUAACACCAUCAAACCGAUUGCUCUUUGAGAAAUCUAUCAUUUACCAAGAUAUAUUGAUGAUAAUUGAAUCAAAUAGUGAUAAAUAGUUUAAUUACUCAAUUAAAAAUUAAUUAUUUUAAACAUGAAAUAAAUUCUUGUACUUAGCAAAAGAAAACUACCAAUCAAACUAGAAUGUAAAGGAAAAGAAUUAGAUUAUUAUAAUAGCAAAGAACUAGACCAAAAAUACAAACAACUAAUAGAUACCAUAAAAUCUUAGAAACGUUAUAUUAAAAUAUACAUAUAUAUAGGUGUAUGAAUAAAUUUAAAUAGCUUUUCUAUAGUUGGUUUGGUUCGAAUUUUUCGAUUAUUUUUUGAUUAAAAAUAAAACCAAAUCUAAAAAGUAUCGAUUUUUAUUAAAAAAACUAAUCUCAUGUAUCCCUUUCUUUAUUAUUAUAUACAUUUCAUAACAAAAUUGUCAACCCAAACGCGUCAAGUCUCAAUCCAUUGACCCUACUACUAACGGAAUAUCCAUUAUCGUUGUUCCAUAAGUUAAAAGAGUACAAAAUAACGUGGACGGCAGGAUUCGAACCUGCGCGGGCAAAGCCCACAUGAUUUCUAGUCAUGCCCGAUAACCACUCCGGCACGUCCACCUUCUGCUGAUGAAAGGAGUUUUUUCUAGUUAAUUCACUGAGAAAGUCGAAAAGUGAACACAUUCUCAGUUCCCAUCAUCAACAUCAAAAAGAGGAAUAUAACUCUCUCCUAAGCAGGAGCGAUAAACAAGCAUCAACCCUCUCUCAAACAAAGGUCAACCCAAACCCCCAAACUUUCCCCAAAAAGAAAUGCAGCAACAACCAACCCCCACCCCCACCCCCACCUCCGAUUCCGAUCUCCCCCGCCUCGCUAACAUCAAAAUCAAAUCCUCUUCCCCCCGUUUCCCACCUCCCACCACCCCUUCCACCACCGAUACCCCCACCGCUGGUGCUCAACGCAAGAUCGGCAUCGCCGUCGAUCUAAGCGACGAGUCCGCUUUCGCCGUUAAGUGGGCCGUCCAUCAGUACCUCCGUCCAGGUGACGCCGUCAUCCUUCUCCACGUCCGUCCCACUUCCGUCCUCUACGGCGCCGAUUGGGGCUCCGUUGAUCUCUCCAUCGUCGAUACCGAAAACGAAGAGUCUCAGCGAAAACUCGAGGAUGAUUUCGACACGUUUACUACUACUAAAGUCUCGGACAUAUCUCAGCCGUUAGUU